rnacentral:lncRNA from 1 species
UUUUUUUUUUUUUGUUGGUUAACAAAAGACAUGUGAAAAGUUUUUGUAAUAUGAUAUAUGCGGGGUAAAAAGAUAUUUAAAAUGUAAAAAGCUAAUUAAACAACAUAGUUAGAAUUUUAUAUUUAUAGUUUUUUUUUUCAAAUAAUGUGAUUAAUUUCCAAAAAGAAUCGUCUUGUUCAAUUUAUUGCCGGCAAAGGAUUGUUCCCUUAGUGUUGAAGUGGAGUUUUUGUCCUACAAUUGUCUUCGGUUUACAUGAAAGCAGGGGUGGGCAAAAAAUCCGAUUCGAUCGGAAACCCGACUAACCCGAUUCGUUCCGAUCCGAAAAAUAGGAUAUCAGAUCCGAUUUUUCUUAGCGGGGCAGAUGCAGGUUGGGUACCCGCAAAAACGAAUAUGGAUACGGAUACGGAUCAGCAAAAUAAAACCUGCUGGUACCCGACCUGCAAGGUAUAUUAUAUAAAUAUUAAAAAAAUAAGGGUUCAUUAUAUAAUUUUAUAAUUUUUAAUCCUAAGUGUAAGUAAAGUGGUUUACAACCUCAUAUUUUAAUCUCAUAUGAUCCACCUCUCCUUAUCUUGUCUAAAAAAAAUGAAUAUUCUUGGUGAAACUUGAACCAAAUGAAUAAAACAAAGAAAAAUUUGUGAAACUCUAUCACAAAAAUUGUUUAUCCCUUUCAUCCUUUUUCAUUUUUAUUCUACUUCCAUCGAUCUUUCCUGCAAAUUUUUCACCAAUUCAAUCAAAAAUUUGUGUUUGGAGUUCCAAUUUCUGUUAGCUAGAUAAUUAAAACAUUUGUGUCUUUCAUUUAUUUAUUUAUUUUAUUGCAAUUGUGUCGCUUAAAUUUGUCUCCUUUAUUUUAGUGCAAGAAAUUUAUUUUUCUUUUUCAUCACCUUUAAUGCAACAAGGUCUAUUCCAAAGAUGUAAGAAAGUUGGGGAAAAUUUUUCAAGAUUAUUUUGGUUAUACUUUUUUCAAAAAUUAUUAGUUCUGUUCAAUUCUUUUCCAGCCUUGAUUCCACAAUCGACUAAUUUUGGAUGCAAUCUUGUACCAUAAUAUCCUUAAGGAAGUUGGAAAAGUUGUCAUAUACUUAUUAUCCUUGUGUUUGUUAUGUUGUAAAAGGAUGAAAUGCGUGAGAAUGGUGAUGUACUCAAAAUUAUCAUAAAAUUUCGUUUUAUCCUUGUGUUUGUUAUACUUGGAAAAGUUGGAAAAGUUGCCAUAUACUACUUAUUAUCCUUGUGUUUGUUAUGUUGUAGAAGGAUGAAAUGCGUGAGAAUGGUGAUGUACUCAAAAUUUUCAUAAAAUUUAGUUUUAUCUAUUAGAUAUUAUAAUUCUAAUAUGUACUAAAUUUAUGAAAUAGGUUUGAUUAUUGGAUGAAAUGUGUGAGAAUGGUGAUGUAUGGAUUUUGAUUAUAAUAUCUCUACCAAUGUUAAUUGAAAAGCAUACUUUUUUUUAUUGGAAAAUAUGUUGAUAUUAAGUGAAAAAUAUUUUUUUAUUGGAAAAUAGUUUUUUUUAGGGGCGUGUAUCCUAUGACCCGCCCCUUUUUUUUCGGGUACUCGAAUAGCGGGUACCCGAAAACAUUAAGAGCGGGUUAGGAUCGCAAAAUGGCUGAUCCGAUAUUUUAGAGUCGGGUCAGCCAAAUCUUGUUAGGGGCGGGUAUCCGACUCGUGCCCACCCCUAAAUGAAAGUUGAGAAUCUUGCAAAAAUUGUAGGAUUUUGCAGAUAAUUCUUAUGUGCUCACAUGGAUUUUGAAGCUAACUUCAAAUAACCAUAACAUCUUAUUUUUAGUCAAAAGGGUUUUGCAGAGUCAUUAGCAGGAAAAAUGAUUUUUAUUUUUCUUCACUUUCUUGUACAUUGGUUUCCCGUCCAAAUUAACUUUCUUGUUUUGUAACUUCUUGUUAAUUUUUGCCCCAGUUAGAGCAAAAGCAAGAAUGAAUGUUAUUUUUUUCCUUAGAAAUUAAGCAGCUGAAUGACAUGUGCAGAGGUCGAAUGAUGUCAAACGCAAAUUUUUAUCUAAACAAGGUAAUGUGAGGUUAAUUAUUUGGCGAAUAUGGUAAUUUUUCUUGUUUGUUUCUUGUGUGCCAUUUGUCCUAAAUAUCAAUUAAAGCUUCAAAACAUUUUUUUUUUCUUUCUUUUCUUUUAGAGUAAAUCUUAUAUACACAGACAGUGCAUACAUUAUUAUUGUUAAAUUCAUGAUGCAUGUGUAAAAAUUGAAUUUCAAAUUCAAAUUUUGCAUAGUUAUCAUUCAUUUAAAACUGACAGUGAAUAUACUGUCGGGAUAUUAAUCCUUUCUUUUAUGGGUUGAGAAUCCUGUGAUCCUUCAAUGUCUUCGUCAGCUAACCAACUUUACUAACGUGACUCUUAGUGCAUCAAAGCCAUUAAGAUUCAGAUUGGCUCCUUUUUCUUCAUGUUUGGGUUUGAUAAUCAAUGAAUAGCUGUGUAAUAGCAACUCAUGCAGAGUACGGACAGCACAUACGAAUUUAUACAUUAUGUUAUUUUUCUCUCGCAUGAGAUUUGACAUAGACGUCAGUUGUUUAUACAAUACUUCAACUACAAAAAACGACCGAAAAAGCACAAGAAUACAGAUGCAAUAAGCAACACAAACCUAAGAAUGACUAAUGUUUAAAUUUUCGACAUAACACACAGAGUAAUGUUAUUUAAAAGAUUGAAAAAGUAGAUUAAUGAGUUAAAUAGUGCAUGUAAGUUGAAGAUCUAAUUUUGCAACUUUAUUAUUAUUUUCACGAAUUGAUAGAUGCUUUACCUUGCUUCAUUAGAACAUGACACAGGGAUAUUGUAACUGAUGUCUGGCAUUGUUGCUCAUAUUCUUGAAAAGGAACUUGCACAAGAGUAGAAGAUCAACUGCUUUCGUCUUACUUUUGUUCAUUAAACACCUUAUUUAUGUACACUACUUUUUAAACACCUUACUUUUGUUUUUUUAGUUUAAACUUUUGUUUUUUGGCCUGGAAUGUUUUAUUAAAACCUACUACUGUAAUGUAUGUAUGUAUGUAUCCAUUUGUUGCAGCAAGAAGAUCAGUGGAAAGGUGGUCAAAAACAAAGAAAAAAGAGAUCAUAUGGGAAGCUAUGGGGCAAUUUGAUGUGAUCAGUUUCUUUCUCCAAUAUUGAGUUUUUUUUUUACCUUAAUACAGGAUCUGAUUUAUCUUUGUACAAGAAUAGUACUCCAUACAUUAUGUUUUCGGAGUGAAAGAAAUUAAUAAAAUAGAAAAAGACAGACAAAAAAAUAAAAUAAAAGAAGAAGAAGAAGAAAAGGCCUAAAAAUCCUAGUGUGCUGCUAGCUUCCAGCUUUAUGCAAACAAAAACUGCUAACGCAAGCAUAUCUGUAGCCCCACUCGAAGUCGUAUUUAUCACACUUAUGUUAUAAGGGUUAUUUAAUACGAGCGGCAGAGAUGAGAUAUCUUUUGGGGUUGAUGGUUUCACCGCCAUUGGAUUGGGAAGGCCCUCCAACAUUUGCAAUAGACACCUCAUUUAUUUUUGUGGUUGAGAUGAAAUAUUUCAUGAGCUGAUCAUUGAGCACCAUUGGAUUACAAUAGCCCCCCACAGUUUUUGCCAUAUUUUCUCCAAAGCCCUCUUCUGGGGGUUUCUGAUCAAAUCUUCACGAGCUACUUUAAUGGAGGAUUUGGGAUUAAACUUUACAGAGAAGGCAACAAACGGAAAGAGCACCUUUUCAGCCAAAAGCUUGAGGGAUAGAGGAGUAAGAGGAGAGGGCUAGUUUUUGAUUAGGAUAAACAUUCUCUAAUGUAAGUCACUUUCCUCACAAUUAUUUUCUAUUCAUUUUUUUUAAAUUAUUGUAUUUUAGUUCUUUUUUUAUUUUUUUUGUCAUGUAAAUUUGUACUCCUUGAUCCACUGUUGUUACUAAUCUAUCAUCAAUGAUGAGAGUUGAAGAAUUUCCCUUUAUCUUUCCUUUUCUGUAUUCCAAGUUAAUUAUUUGUUAAUAUGUUGUGAGUAAGAUAUUGAGCAUCAACAAACAGCUAUAUGGCAACUCUUUUAAUGAUUUGGAAGUGAAUUGCCGAAUCUGAUUGGAAGAAAUAAUUAAAAAAAAACGUAGGAUAGUCUUGAAUCUAGUUGCUAUAAUUGUGAACAAAUGAUCAACGGAUUAAGGUAAAAAAAAAAAUUUUUUUUGAAAAGAAAAAGUUAAGGUAAAUCAAGAAACAUCCAGUCACAGAAGCCCAUGAUCAGGCACUUGAUCUGGAACCUAUAUAUACUUCCGCUUAGAAAGUGAAAGCCCAUUCCCCUUUAUCCAUCAAAAGUUUCAUUUCACCAAAUAUUACAUGCCACAGGACUUUUUAGUCAAGAAAUCUCUAUAUACCAAAAUGUUCCUUUUCAAAUUGGUUGAAGAAGGAAAAAAAACAUUGCAUGUAGUUUCCAAAAGGCAAUGUAGAGUAAGUCCAAGAAGUACUUGUUACUAUUGUAAGCAUAAUAUUUGCUUCAAACCAACUCAAAAUACAUAUGGAGAUAACCAAUGCAAUAUGGUGUCACUAGCGGAAGAACAAUAAUCAGUAAACAGCUGAUUUCUCAUGUGUUUAUUUAUUUGCAUGGAAAUCUUACUGUUAUGGUUUAAAAUAUCUUCAAAAUCAAGUGGAAAAAUGACUAAAAGGGAUUUUUCCAUCUAUGAUCAAUAUCCUUUUUUGUUUCAAAUGAUCCCUUAGAUCCUUGAUUUUGUCACAGCUAAUGUUGCAUUCAUUUUAGUUUGUGGUACCAGGACUAAAUUCAGUGAAACAGACAGAUUCUGGAGUCAUAAAAAGGAAAAUCAUUCAAAAAUUUUGUGAUUUUCUUUGUGUUUUGAAAAGGAGAAGUAAUUGGCAAUUUGGCAUAUAUCCCUGAGGUAGGAGAAGUGACAAAUUCUAUAAAUGGGCCAGUUUUAGAAAGUCCCUUAAAAAUUUGAGGUUUGGCCCUGUCCCUAGACUGGUAAAGGAUUGUUUUUCCGGGAUUGGGGAUUGACAUACAUUUUAUCAUUUCUCCUCUUAUUAUGGUCAAAGUAUUUCUUUAAUUGAUAUCUCUUUUUUUUUCUUGACUCACGCAUAUCUUUCUACUGUGUCAUUUCUACCUAAUUUGGACUGAUUGAGCAUAAAGAAGCUAAAAUGAGAUGAUUUUCCUCUUUUUUGGCUGCUCAAAGAAACUCAAGUGAUGGCCAGGGAUAAACAAAAAGAAAAAAAACCCCAACUAUGGUUUUUUUUUUAAAUUUUUUUUUAUCAUUAUUAAAAGGGCAACCUCAGCUGUGACAGUUGUAUAUUUGGAGCUGAUUCAGGUUUGUUCUUGUACCACCUUAAUUUGUUUUAAUGCUUAUUUUCCCCUUUGAGGCGUUUACUUGUACUUCAACUCUUCGUGUACAUGUAUGCACACAUGCAUGCAACAAAGACAUGACUAUGGAAAGAACUAAGGGGGCUGGAAUAAAAUCGAUAGCUCAUUCUCAAUUCUUAAUACUAUAGUAAAUUACGAGUGAAAUCAAUAUUAUAUGGCUCACAUCCUGCAAAAAAGAAUAAUGUCGAUACUGUAUUACUGGUAAUUCAAGAAAACACCUAGUUCUAGCUAGUUGGAAGUUGGCAUGGUGCAUGCAGAAUUAGUCUUCAUGGAUUCUUCUUCAGAGCGUCUAUAUACCUCACUUCCAUGAUGUCAUUAUUUGAAAUGAAGUCAAGAAAACCACUGAAGCUCCCUUCUGCGUAGGACAAAGGAUGUUGAUCAUCCACAAGCAGCGGGGCAGGUCCUACCUUCCUCUCUAAGGCUAAACUAUGAAGGCUCGCAAUGGAAAUACGAUCAGUGUCCGAGUUAACCGUAGCGCGGUGGACAAGGCUCUUACAUAGACCAUUGCUGAUUAUUUCCAUUUGAUCUCCUAUCUGAAUCACCAGGGCUCCUUUCCUGACUGGAACUUGAUACCAUUUCUUGUCAUGGCUCAUGAUUUCUAGUCCCUGAUGAUUUUGAAGUAUUAUAGUCAUGUAACCGUAGUCCGAGUGUGGUGGCAUGCCUAGUACGAGAUCUGGUUCAGGACAUGUAGGAUAGCAGUUCACAGCCAUGACUUGGGAUCCUUCAUCAAUGCCCUCAUGUAAGUACUUAGGGCUUAGCCCUAAGUUCUCAAAUACAACUCCCAUCAACUUUCUAUGCAAUGCAUGCACGGCUUGCGUAUAGUUUCCCAUUUUUUCCCUACAAAAUGGCAAAACAUGAUGUUAUGUUAUAGGUUAAAGAAUUAGGUAUUUAAUUAGCUUUAUUGAUGCUUUGCAAAGCUUCUUUCAAGUGGCCCUAAAUCUACUUACUUGUAGGUUUUUGGAUUUGAUGGCCAUUGGUCGAUCCAAGUUGAAAUCGGAUGAGAGUAAUGUUUGAUGAAGUCUCUCCAAAAGAGAACCCUAUCCUCAACAUGAUUCAGACUGGUUCCAUAUCUAACAGGUUCGCGGAUAUUGGCUGAUGCAAGUGACAUCUUCUCUUCGUGUGGCAACUCAAAGAAGUCAGUUGCAGCGUCUAGGGCAUCAUUCAUGACUGAAAGAGGUAUCCCAUGAUUAAUGACCUGCAAAACAUACGAGUCAUUAAUUGUUGCAUUACCGUGGCAUAUGCAUGCAUGCCAAUCCUAUGCCAAUGGAAAUUGCUAUUCUGCCUAGCUUCUUUUUGUUGCUCAACAGCUUCGAGCUUUUUGCUCCAGGUUUUUGCAUUAUUGCAAAAACCAGGUAAAUAUUUCGAUGAAACACAGAAAUCAUGCGGGAUCUUAGUUAAUGGCAGUGAAUGGUGCUACUCAUGCAUGUCACAAGGAACAUGAAUUCCUGCAUGUUCGUUGCAUGACCACUCCAAUACGUUAUACCAUUGAGGUUGGUAAAUCAUUAGCAAAAUCAACAAAAAUCUGAAAAUAUGAAAUAUAUGUCCGUACAUGCAUGGUGUUCUCAGAAACUUCUUGUCUUUCUCUUCAGGAAAAAUCAUGCGAUUCUUGUGCAUGCAAGAGACAGGAUUAACGGCCUAUAAUGUAUACCUGGAAAAAUCCUGAGUCCUUGCAUGCCAGGCGUACUUCCUCCUUGAUUCGAAGCCCAUGAAUUGGAUGGUGUAACGAGGACAGGUCUAUAAUGGGCGAGACGAUGGCAGGAUUUGGACAAAGGCCAAGAUUAGGGCGCUGCGAUGGAGGAAGAACAUAGCGUUUGGGAACAGAAGCAGCAGCCCCCAUUUGGGAGAGUUUCAAGACGCUAGUGAAUGAAGUGGGAGCAGCAGAACUCUCUCGUUUGUCUUCCAUGACACUGUCCCUUUCCUAUUUUUGUGAAUGGCCUCAACUAGGCGGCCUACUUGCUAUUUAUACAGCUAAAAGUACAUCCAGAAAUUAACUUUAUAUUUCCUUGACAAUUUGCACAGCCCCUGUACAGUUUCAAUGAAUUUUGAUAUAAAAAUGAUUUGUGCUGACGCCUACAUAAAACAACACGAAUGGUCUCCACUUUGGAGUCAGCCAUCAGUCCACUAAUGGCAGAUGAUAUUUGUUUCUCUAUGUCAUGGUACGCUAGUUAAAGAUGCACCUUUUUGGUAGGACAUUAAUUACAAAUACUAUACUUUUUGAGUUGCAGAAUGCCGUUUACCUAGUCUUGGUUUGAAGAGGAUUGUUAUUCCAAUCCUGGUAAAUCCACCUUGUUAUGGUUCAAGAGGGAUGCUAUUUUUCUUUAAAUAUAAAAAAAAGAAGAAAAAUAAAUAGUGAUUUCCUACUUAUUCUCUGAUAAUUCGAACCCGUUAUCUCUCAAUUAUAAAUAGAGUAGUAGAUCCAUAAUCUCUUAGUUAUAGGUGAGGUAUCUUAUUAACGAAACCAUAUUUCCCUCUUGUCCGAGAGGGACGCACUUACUAGCUAGAGAGAGGGUGCAAGUUGAUUAAACCAAUUCACGUACGUCACAGAAGUGGGAAUAAGUUAUUCUAUUGUGGUUUUUUAAUUUGGACCAUAAAUACAUAAGAAAAGCAUUUCUCAAAUGAAAAACUUAACCAAUGGCAAUAUUGUGAACUUGGUCUAUCAUUAAUUGGGACAGCUCUAGCGUCUGCUCAUGCCGAAUUGUUGUAGAGAAUGGAGCCCGUUACUACAUUCACGGCAGCUUUGACGUUGUUAGGGGCAAAUCUGUGCAUGUCUCCCCUGAAUUUCAUACUGCCAAAUAACGUUGUUAGGUUUUUACCAUUCAUAUACGGUUGGUUACUUGAAGCCAAGUUCUUUCAUUUUCAAAUCUAGACGAUCGAUUCUAAGCAACAAUUAAACAAGUGAUUCCAUUUCAAAGUGUUCUCACAGCCUCAAAGGGAAAAAGAGAUCUUCAAACUUGAGAGUGUAUCUAGCCUAAUUAAGAGGGUUGGUUGGUUGCCGUUGGAAAAAUACUUCAAAAGAGGACAUGCAUGUAAUAUACGUUAGACUUGGGAGCUUAUACAAUAAUAAUAUUUUGAACGAAAGACUGGCUCUGUGUUUCUUUGGCAGAUACUAAAUUCAACACGUAUGGAUAAAUUGCAUUGAAUCUCCUUAUCUUUAUAGGAAUUACUUAGAUCUCCCUUCAACUUCUUUGAAUUUGCAAAAAUUAUACGUGUCCAUGCAGAAUGGCCCUAAUUCUCACCUAUAAAGUGAGUGUUUGUUUUUGUUUUUUGGACUUCAUUAUAACAUAGAAUUAAAUUGACUAAUUUACCCUUAUUUACUAUGUAUAAAGCUAUCAACAAAAUUAACAAAGAUAUUUAUGUCUUCCACACAUACUUUUCUUCUUUAAUACAUAUCGAGAUAUGUUUUAUGUUUGAUGGUUUGCUUAGCUUUUUGACGUGUUUUCAUUAAUUAAUAAAAAAAACUUUCGUGUCAUCCUUAGGGAUAUUGCAAUCUCCUUUUCAUCAGUCUAAUAUACCAUAAAAUUCCAAGAGAAACAAAAAAAAAAAAACAUGUAAUCCAAGAAUAAUCGGCGCACGCAAUCUUUUUCACGACUAUGUGCAGACACGCGAAAGGAUGCGAAUAAAAACAAAUUUCUAUUUUAAAGCCGCAAAAAUAAUCAUAAAUAUAUAUUUAUUGAAACCUAAAAGUAAUUGUAUGUCUUGUACAACAAGUUUCUUCAACAAAAGCUUAUGUGAUUCGACUACUGCCAAAUUCAAAUUUGAGUCAAGCUCGAGAAGGAAAAAUGACUCGAUUUGACUCUAUUUUAAGCACUAUAUUUUCUCAUUUAGACCAUACAAGUAGGGUUCCAAAUAUAAAGCUAAAAUUAAUUAUAUUUAUAUUGAACUUGGCUUUCUACCCUAACCGUACCAACCCUUGGGGUUCGUUUGGGAGUGGAGGAUUUGGAUAGAAAAGAAAGGGAAAGAAGAGAAAGUUUACUUUUGCUUCAUUUGUUAGUUUUAAGUAGGAAAGAAAAGAAAGGAAAUGGAAGGAUGAAUAGUUAUCAAAAUGCUUCCUCCCAAAUCAAAAGGAAAUGGGAAGAAAGUUUGGAGAAAACUUGAUAAUUUUUUUUAAAAUGCCUAUUUUGUCCUUAAAAAGGUUUUGAACAAAUAUUUAAUGAUUUCUAUGUCCAAAAUCAUUCCACUAAUUCUCAAAACUCCCAAACAACAUAACAAUCGCUUCUCUUCUCUUCUCUCAUAACUUAAGCUUUCCCUUCUUUUCUUUUCUAUCCUAAACUCCCAAACUAAGCCUUGGUUUUUGUGGGCAAGCGAUUCAUAUCUUCUUAUUUCAAAAUUAAUUGAAUGACAUUUGAACAAAACCACGUCGUUUAAGAGAAUACUCUUCUGCUAUUAUGGAUCCUGUCCGUAUUAUAUUGGGCUACUAGCCCAAUGGACCAAUGGUUGGACGGGUAACGUAUUAAUAAGCAGUUCGAUUUUGACAACCUCACUUUCCAGACAUAGCAAAAGCUAUGCAAGAGGACACGUGUAAACGUACUUGCAAGGAAGACCAAUUAAUUAAAGGUAAUACUAUCAACCUCUAACCUGAUUAAUUAUUUGCUUCCCGCAAUGAUUGGUUAAAUUCCGAAUCAUUUGUUUCGUUGGAAUCGUUCUGCUUUGGCAAAACACUCUUGUUUUCUGCUAUAUGAGUAUUAUAAGAUCUGCUUACCUAAUGAUCAUCAUUUAAGUUCUUUCGGUCUUAUCAUGAAACGUUAGAUAAUGACGAAUACAAGAUUGACUUUUCUGCUUCACUAUUUCGGUCACAAACAAAACAGACAAAGUCAUAGUAAAUGAAAAUGCCACAGCUCAUUUUUUUUUAUGUCUACAGCAACUUCAUAUUGAAAUGACAAAACUAUUCCUUCUAAGUCCAAAUCGUAUUCGGACUUGAGAAGGUUAAUUUUAGCGUUUUAUGCAAAAAUGGCUAUGAAACUAAAAAAUGAAAGGCUAAAUAAAUAUACUUCUGUUUUUAAUCAUAAUUAUCUUCAUUUCUGUUAAGUUAGAGUUAUCUAUUAUUGGGUUAUAAAACUAAUAACAUUAUAUAUAUACACACACAAAGAUAUUGGGUAUUGAAUUUUUAAGUUUCUCUUAUCAAAUCCUAUCGAGUUACGCGUCGGUAACUUCUAAUGAUUACCAUACCUUAAUGAAUAAACCCAUCGAUCAUAUAAUCGAAUUAACUAUCGGAUCAAAUAGCCGUAGGUAUUGCUUUUAUCGUACUCAUUGUCAUCCCUUCUCUAGUCUGCCCCUCGGACCAAAUACAUAUUCUCCUCAAAUGACAAAGUAUACCUUUCCCCAAGGCCAGCUAACAUGCAAUUAAUGGAUAAAUUUAGGCAUUCAAUUCUUGCUAUAUACAUACACGAAUAUGAUGGAUAGUGGCUGAAUUCACGACCUGUCAUUUUGUAACUAUGCCUAACAGAAACAAGAUGCAAAAAACAAAAAAAAUAUACAAAAAUGAAAAUGGUCACAUCCUGAAUUAAGCAAUGAGAUAUUAUGUUUCUCUUAUGUAAGCCUGCCCAUUGAGCCGUAUACAUCUAUAGACACUCGAAAGUGAUUGUCAUUCGCCUCUCUUAGCAUCAUGUUUGUAUUCAGAGAUACUAAUAUCUUAUUGAUUCCCAUGUUGCAUGCAUUGAUAUUAAGUACAAUUUUUCUUAAAUUGUUAGACACUAUUAUAUAUACUUGUCUUUUCUAUGUAUUAAAGUUUAUUUCGACCCAUCAUGUAUGAUGUAAGCCAAGGAUAUAUAGUUUAAGUAGUAGUUGAUAUGAGAGGGGGCAGUUUGUGACGAGUACAGGACCAGGUCCUAGCUUCUGUAUUUCACCAACAAAUGCUAAUAUUAAAGAGUUGUACUACGAAACAAGGCCUAAAUUUGCUAGUGGAACUUAAAAAGGUAUUACAAGUCUUCUCAUUUUAAUUUAUAUUUGCUAAGCAAGGUGUUGUUUAUGUCACCGACUUAUCUUGGUUUGUUGGGAGAGCCAAUAAAUGCAAGUUGAUGCAUUCUUUUUUUUUUUUUUGUAAAAUCCACGCCAAAAUGACACAUAAAUUUUUUUUUUUCACAUAAAAAAGGCAAUUAAAAGAUUAUAAUUCGUUUUUUCUUGUUUGGUUUACAAGCAACAACGCAUAUAUUAUAUUAUAUAAGGGAUAAGAGGGCAAAUAACCAUCUAUAUUAGAGGAGUGCGUUUAAAACACCCUAUGAAUUUUUUUAACGGUGAGUAGCAGGGAAAUAAAUUUUUAUAUCUUAGAAAUAAAUUUUAAUUCUCUCCAAGUAGCCAAUUUACUUUUAACAAAAAGAUGUUAAUUUCCCCUAUGCUUCUUUAGCCUGCUAAUCAGACCAAGUGCAUCCAUAGAGGAAAAAUUUUGUACUACUUAUCUCUUCAAUCAUAACUUUCUUGGUUAAUUUUCAUGUAGAAUUGAACUCACUUGAUCCAUUAUUUGUACUUUUCAGGAAUAUAGCAAAUCACAAAUUUCAUCAUCCUCUGGAAACAAAUUUUCUGCAAAGUAGUUGUUGGCUUUCAUCUGAUGACGCAAGGUACGUAUUUCUUUAUCGGGACUGGCAUUUGGAGAUAUAUGCGAUCAGAAAUAGAAUUUGAUGGAUGCAUCUAUGCAUUUGAUGGUUGUACUCAUCUGGCUUUGAUAACGAGCUCUAAGAGCUUGAGCUGUUAGACACUUAAUUACACUCAGAAGCAGAAAUUAAAAGUAGAAUAUUUAUUAAUUAGGAUCAAGGUAUUUAUUCUUAUGCCUGAAUAAACACCAUUUCCUAGUUUUAAAUCUUUGUAUCCAAAAAGACAGAUAAAACUGUGUUUUUGCAGAUGGAAAUUAUAUGGACGAAGGUCUUAUUCGAUUAAUUAGCUAUUUCAUGCAUUUUGGUUGUUGGGACUUGAGAUCUUACAACUAAAGUUAUCCCUAAUCAGGUGACCUUAGGCAAUCAAGAACUAAACUUUCAGUCCUCGUAGUAGUUCACCAAAAAUUCAAUUGGGGUUUAUGCCAAUUUGGCCCACAAAAGGAGGUCAAAAUCUCAAUUAGACCCUCCAAACUGAAAAAAGGUUCUAUUUGUUCCCUCAAACUUAAAAAGUGUUCCAUACAAAUUCUAACGUGUAACUACUCAAUAAGGGACCUAAUUGAAUAUUAAAAGAUGUAAAUUCGUACGUUACAAUUUUACUUCUGCAAACUCUUCAAUUUCUUUUUUCAUUGUUUCCCUAUAAAGAAAAAGAACAAGAGAAAAAAAAAGAACAAGAACAACAAUUACGGGUAUGGAAGUUGGCAAUAUGACAUGGUCACUGCCAAUUUAAGUGAUUAUUAUUUUUUUAGCAAAAUGCAUGCUGUAGAUUAAAUUUUCUAGGUACAACAUGAUUUUAGCAACGAUCAAGGUGACAUUUUUGGUGACAUAUUGUGCAAAUCAAAUGGUAGUUACACAAAACUGAAAAAGAAAAAAAUGGUUCCUAUUGUUAUUACUCUAGUGUUAGAAAGAGAUGAAAAAUAAAGCAAUUUAAAUGUUUGAGAAAACAAAAUUAGAAAAGUACACAUUUGUAUCUUUUGGUACGGAAUUAAACCCCUCAUGAUUAACCAAAUGUUAAAAUUUGGAUUGAGUUGGAUGUUUUUUGAAGGGCCAUGCUCAAACUUUUUCAAUUUAAAGUGCCAAAGGACAUUUCUGCAUACUUUGAAGGGCUAAAUUGAUAUUAACCCUUAAUGAUUUGGAGAGGAAGUGGACUGUUAGUUCACCAGUUCAAGGGGAAUAUACACCUCUUGUUGGAUUCGGUUUGCAAUAAUCAGAAAUUUAACCACAGGCUAUGCAAGUUACAAGCCCAAUCCGCGUUCUCCGAGUACAAAUGGGCCCAGGCCAUCAUAUAGACACUUGCCAUGGAGCGGCUUGCUAUAGAGCCUAGCGGGCUUACCGGCUAACUAGUCCAGCUGAAGAACUUCCUCUGCUGGUUCUUUUUUUUGCUUUUUAUUUUUUCCCCACUUCUUGCUUUCUAUUUUUUGGAAUAGCCCCCCUCUUUGCGAGCAUCAUUCACUCUCACAGGUCUCACAAGUUUCAUUUUAAACCGAUUUGAGGGUAGGAUAGCUAUUAGUAAUUGUUUUACACUAUAAUCCCAAUCGUUUAUACUCUACUUAAACUUAUUUACAACUCGGGGACAAAUUGGUUUGAAAUGAAAUUUAUGAAGCUUAUGAUCUGAAUAGAGUCUAAAUUGAGGCCAUUAGAUUCUCAAAAUUUGAGGUAAAACGAGUUAGAAUAAUACUAAAAAUUCACUCAAUGGAAAAGCGUGAAAGACAAUUUGCUUGAUGUUAUUGAAUAUACCUGGCCAAGAUAAGCUUCAAGUAUUUGACCCUUAUGAGUAGGGUGUUAAUUGACUUUGAUAUGAUGUUCAAGCAUUAAAAUUCAACACAAAAGUAGUUGAAAGAUGCAUUUCUUCUGGAGUUGUCCAUGAUCAAAUACAGGUACGUGCUGAUCUUCAACUAGUUCGAAUCCCUCAAGUCUAAUCUAAAAUCAAAGAUUAGUUGUAUGAAUGAUUUAAAAAAAAAAUUAAUUUUCUGGUAAGGUUUGUUACAAAACCUUGACUAUAACAACGCAGAAACCAAUCAAGGAACAUUUCCUUUUCCUAAAUUUUUAACAAGAAAUCCAAACUGUUCCUUGACUAAAAUGGCCUAAAAUUGCCUCGUGCCAUUUUAGUUGGAGAUCAAGUUACGCACGACACAACAACUUAACCAAACACGUCCAUUUUUAAAACUCUGAAAGUCCAUACAUGACACUCAAUUUCUCAGAGAGUUCGAAUACAAUGAUUGAUAAUAGUGACAAUAAUAAUAACCACGGAAAAAAAAAAUACUAUUGUGCUUACCAACUAACGCUUCUCUCUGUCUCUGCAUCAUUGCAUGUAGAUGCAUGCUCCGAAUCCCAGUGUUAGGUGGCAAGAAACUGAGAUUAGAAUAUUUGUAGAAUAUGAAAGAUUCGUUGAAAUGAACAUCUCGAUUGCUAUACCUAUACUUGCAUGUUCAAACAUAUUCUCUCUAGCCUUGCUGGCUUGGCAUGCUUCCUAUCGGUUGGCAAUACAACCGUCAAUUUUUUCAGGAAGGUAUGUUUCUGAAAAUAUACACCAUGCAAAAGAGAAUAUGAUUGAUUAAUAGACUAAAAACUCUUUGUACUUUCAAUCUUUGAUUACUGCAAUUGAAUCCAGGUAAUUAUCAGCCCUGUUCAAAUAUGGUCCUACACUUCUACAUGCCAGCAGUAUAGAUUAAUUUCAAAGAGUCCACCUAUAAAGAGCAACUAUAAAAUACAACAUUUCUAAACGAUAGACACAAAUACGAAAUUUUCUAAAAAUCAAGAAUACGUGUCAUCAUUCUUUAGUUUGUUUCUGUCAUUUCGAUCGUAUAUCAUUUCGUAUAGGAUUUUUAAAUUCGAAGUUAUGAACAUGUUUAGCAACAUUCAAGAAAGUUAAGCAUGCAAAAUAAUAGUAAUUUAACUGUACCAAGGGGGUGAAGAUUCAAAGUAGUAGUAGUUGAGAAUUAAGACAGGGAGGAGGGUAAAUUCCAAAACUUUAAGCAUAAGUCAGCGGAGAGGGACGUUGGGUGGCAAUGUCCUUAAGAAAUAGGUUAGGUAGGAGUUGUAGAGACGCACGGAAAAACAAGAGACUAAAUUAGUUACUACCGAAUAAUUUGAUUUUCCCUUCCUUGAAUUAUGCCAUAUUCCUCCAUUUUCACAACUAUGAGCCGGCUAUAUAUAUAUACAUGUAGAUAAUUGGUUUUCCCUCAUCAAUCCCUGCAUUUGUGCUUCUUCUAAUCCUUGUCCAAAUUCCAAGCACACAGCAAUCAUCAAACCUAAGAAAUGGCCUUAAGGGUUGCAGCCCUUUUCCUCCUGCUUUCAACCCCCGCAGUUUAUGCUGUCCAACAUGUUGUGGGAGGCCCCGGCGGGAGCUGGAGUACUGCCGGAGGUUACAGCACUUGGGCUGCUGGAGAAACCUUUAAUGUUGGUGAUACACUCCGUAAGUUACCUACGCGGCUUUCCAGUCUGAAUAGGUUGCCAGCUAUGCAUGAAUUUUACACUAAUUAGUACCACAAAUUAAAAUUUUUUGCAUGUAGUUGUUGUUUGAUCUGUCUCAGGGUUAGAAUCUUCACUUUUGUAGUUUAUUGUUGUUUUUGUCAUUAACGUUAUUAAUGUACACAUCCAUAAACUCAUGUUGAAAGGUUCUUUAGAGGGACAGGAAUUAGAUGACUUGUUCUUAUGGAGAACUGUCUUGUAAAAUUCAGUUUUUGAGCCCAUAACACAAGGGACCAGUUAUAAGGCAUUUCAACUAAUCUGACAUUUUACUUCAAUUAUCAGUUUUCAACUAUGAUACCUCUCAUGGCGUUAUCGAAGUAAGCAAGGAUGAUUAUGACAACUGCAAUACUGGAAAUGCCCUUCAAUCUUAUACUGGAGGCAAAAGCAGCGUUACUUUAUCCAAACCUGGUUCAAUGUACUUUAUUUGUCCAAUACUGGGGCACUGCGGACAGGGUAUGCAAUUGGCUGUCAAUGUCCAGGGUAGCAGCAGUCCUCCUUCUAGCUCCACCCCCACCACCCCCUCAACUCCUUCUGGUUCAACUGCACCAAGUACUUCACCAACAACAUCUUCACCAAGUGCUAAAAGCUCACCAUCUGGGUCCAAUGGAGCUGUCAGUGGUCUUGACAGCUUAAAUCAUUUGAUGCUCGGACUUUCGCUUGUCUUGGGAGCCCUGUUCGUUCGCGUUUAAGGGCUAGGCAAGAGGCAGUGCUUUUAUCUCUGUUAAUUUAUUGUGAAAUUAUCUCUGUUGAUUUUGUAAUUGUAAUGAUUUAGGCAAUAAAUGACACGGUCAAGAUUGCUUUUCAUGUUCCUUAAUCUUCAUGGUAGUGCGCCAUGUAUGGACCACAUGAGAUUGUUGUAGAUUCUAUUGUUGAUCAGUUCCAUGUCAAUGUCUACAUUUCUUGCCCUUUAGAGCAUAUUUUGAACUUUGACCAAAACGCAGAAACUAUAGAGUCUACAAAUUGUAAAAAGUAAAUUACUGCCAUGAUCAUCUGACAUUAACACCUCAAUUUAUUCAACAUAAAACGAGGAUCGAAUUAUCGUGGAUUCAAAUAUAUACAAGUAUUGCCACCCCCACCAAACUGAAAUUAGAUAGAAUUAAUUACAUGGGGGGUGGAUUAGACCACCGUCUCUUCAUUUCAGAUUUCCACCUGACCUCCUUGAGUUUCCCAUCUGUUCCGUAAUCCCUUUCCAUCACAAGAUUUAUCCCCUCGUCAGAAUACCACCCAACUCCAACACAAAGGAUGCCAUCCUUAUUCACAUCAACAUAGCCUGUGACGCCUCCUGGCAGCCAGAGGAUGGUAACAUCCUGCAUGUCUAGCAUCUCUUCCUCCCCAAAGUAAACUGAAUGUUCAGGCAGGCUUCUCUUCUUUAGGGUUUCUGUGCAGAGGUACACGUAAGGUGCACCAUGGCAUUCCUCUAACAUGAUGUCUUCACCAUAGAUAGGUGUGGCGCUCACCUCAAACACUUUCCAUGAGCCAAUUAAUUCUGAUGGUUGAACUCUUUCCCUCUGAGAAAAUGGCUGCAAGUCUACCUCCAGCUCACUGCCAAUCAGAACUCAAAAAUUACAAGGCAUAAAAAGCACUAUUUCUUAUUCAUAAUAUGGACUCCUUUUGGAAAAAUGUAUAAAGAUCAUAGAAGUGGAAAUGGGCGUCAAAGGGCUUAUGCUAUGAUUACAAAAGAUUCUUUAGUUUGGGGGAAAAAAAGACAAACGGUAAUUAUAGGAACAGAACAACCCAAAAACAAGAAAGCACUUAAAAGAAGUGCAACUAAGAAUUCAAUACAACUGGAAAGAAGUGGAAUAUAAGCUACCUUUCAUCAGGGAUACUAGCAGGACUAUCCCACUGUUCUUCAUAAACAGCAACCCUCAUUAUUUGGAUGUCUGAACCCCCAUUACCAAAUUCUAUUGUAUGAACAAUCCGCAAUCUUUUAUGGGAACCUUUAACCAAACACUACAAGAAAGCAGGGAAAGAGAAAAUACAUCAACAUACUUCUUAGUGGCAGAGUAAUCUAAAAAGAGAAGUUGUGUAUGGAAUUGACUGCUGAAAGUUCCCCAGAAGACAGGAGAUAUAAUGCUAUACUGCAAAAUGAGUUUCAUAAUCCGUUCUCAAAAUAACUAAAAUGAACACCAUUCCUUUUUUUUUUUCAAGGGCACUAAAGCAGAAAGUACAUAAUUCAAACAAGAUGCACACAAAAUUUAGGCAAAAUGAUGAAGCAUAAAUAUAUCAUUCUCUACAAGAUCAAUUAUAUGACCUGCACCGUGAGGCAGCUGUUAUUAUCCCAUCAUAUACUGAAAACCAACAAUCUCACCACCAGCUAAGAGCCUAUCUGACAUUGAAUUACCUGCCAAUUUAAGCCACGUAGAUACCAGAAUCCACUUUAACCUUGCAGGGGCAUUAGCCUACUCUUCAGAGAGAACAUCAAGCAUUUCUAAUGUAGAUAUACAACUGGUGACAACAUGCACAGAAUCGCCACUUCGUGCAAAUAUUACGGAGUUUAGGAGAAGUCUUUCUGGCUGCAAGCCUACACAAUAAACCUAUUUCUUCUUGAAGUCCAUUAACAUCCAAUGCAUCAUUUUCAUCCUUGACGAACAAAAUUCAGGCACUCACAUAAAGCACAGGUAAAAAUCAUCUUUUGUGCACCGAAUUUUCAAUGAAAUCUAAGAAGCUCAUUUACAAAUCCCUGAUUGGAAUUUAUAAAAAUCAUUCUUAGGUAAAAAGAAAGGACCUGUGCUGACCUUCUUUAGCUUUUCUUCGACUAACCAGAAUUAUAACAGAACUUAAAGUAAUCUCUGAUAGAUCUAAACCAACAAAGCAACUGGAAGUCUUCUGCAGGAAAGCUAAUCCCAAACUAGUUAGGAGAAUUAUUUUAUUUCUAUAAAACCAGGAAGCAUUACACAAUAUUUGCUUCAUAAACCAGGAAACAUGCCUCCUCCAUGUGUUAUGGGCUUUGUGGUUCAUUCUAUGAGUUCAGUCAUUUAUUUCUGUUGCCACCCAACCAUUUCAACACUAUCAAUGAGUACCAAAUUUCAGAUUUAACUUAUUCUCUGUUAUGACAAAGGAACCACACUGACAUCUCUUAAUCCUCUGGCAUUAAAAUUGUGGACAUCAAAGGACUUUACUAGUUUUACUGAAGCAUGGAGUUUGGAUAGACUAUUAUUUGAGUAACAGUGAUGAAGCUCAUUAUAGGUAAUAAUUUAACAGAAGUUUGAGCAAGCAAGACAUCCAAAAAGAAUGUUAGACAGCCUUACUUGUUCAAAUUUGUAAGUUGGAGAAAGGAAAUAUUUGGACUCAUCAAAUUCGCCAACCCGGAUGUCAACCGGGCCUCUUGAAUAUGAUCCAUCCUGCCAAUGUACCAUCAUAGAAUUUCGCAGAAAUAUUAGUAAAUCACAGAGUUGUACAGCGAGAACUUAAAUAUUCAACUACAGUUUGAUACACUAUUAGGAAAAGAAAAUGAAGUUUUUGUUUAUUCUCAUGUUAUUAGAGGACUUCAUAAUUCUUUUGCUCUUACAGGGGAAGGAAAUGGAGUGCAGAAAACCAAGGUAUUUGCACCUCAAAGAUAACAAGACCAGGUUCUAUUCCCAUGACAUCUUCUUCCAUAAUGUCACUCCUUCCAAAAUUGAAAGCCUCAAAUUUUGGCAAAUUGUGAGUUGAAAAUCUAUUGGAUGUCUCUUUCCUGGACAAAGAAGCCUGCCCAUUGUCAGACCUCGCAUGACGCAUAUAUUCACCUUCAUUUAACUGUGGAAUUUCACCAUAAGGAUUCAGUGUGACCCAAUUUAUUCGCCUUUUGAUUUGAGUAGUCUGUUCCCCAGAAGCAGAUGGGACUGCUUCCACACGAGACAAAGUAUAACAGUCAAAUAGGUUCUCAUUCUUGUUCCCAAUGUCAAUUGGCUCCAUCUCUGCAGUGAAGGGAGAAAAAACAGCUCCCACUCCCUUCCAUAUCCCACUGAGACUACUUGCAAAUGUAUGCCAUGCUGGGCGAAUCACAGGUUCCUGAAAAAAGAACACCAAUCAAGAUGCAUAUUGCACUACAUUCUAACAAAAUUUCAGUAGUUAGGUCCUUCAGCUACACGUUUUGUCACAUGACUUCAGAACUCCAAUUUCAUAAAUUCCAUUAGGUGAUUUUCUUAUAGUACAUCUUGAACAUCACCUGAAUUCCCAUUUGUUAUGGUGUCAUACUAAAUAUCGCUUCGAACUUGGAUUGUAAUUAGAGAAACAGAGACAACCAAUACUUCCACCUCGUUGUCAUAGCCUGAAAUCCAUUCAUUUGAAAGUUUGGUUCUAGUUUUGUCUCUCAAACUCCAACAGCAAAAUAGACUUUGCCAAUCAAUGUAAAAUUAACAAUGUACUUGGAUUACUCCAUAAAUGAUUAUAGACAAUUGGUAAAAAUGGUGAGGAGAUAAAAAUUUAGAAUCUUUCUUUAGGUCCCACCAUUAGCAAUCUACAUGCACUACAAUACCAUAUGAAAACACGCUCCACUAUAAAUUUAAAGGACCUAGGAUAUAUGACCUUUAAAAUUACCAAAUUAUCAUACACAUUCGUUCACCAUCACAAAGCUCAGAUAACCCCUUUAAACCCUUCAUAAACACAAUGUACAUCAGCCCAUUGUUCAUUUCAAACCAUUCAGCAAACAUUCAGAAAUGUGGAAAAAAAGGAAACCAGGGUCAUUCAAAUCUAAAUGACCUAUUCUAUACCAUCAAUAGAAACCUAGGGAACCCCACCUCACAUAUAUAUCAUAUGGUACUUAUGGAGACACCCUCACAAGCCACAUUCUUGCAUACAUAUCGAUCAAAACAUAUGAAUAUUCCAAUUGUUGUAUCAUCGAUAAAUCUAUUGGUGCACUGCAGGUAAUUCACAGUAAUUGAGAUAUAAUAAAAUACUGCUAGUUUUGUAGAAUAUACCUGAGUUUGUAAAACAGUUUCAACCUCCACUAACAUAGCACCAGAAACCAUAAACCUACUAUUUCUGUUACCCACAUUUCUUUUCCUACCAUCAGCAACCCCUCCUCUUUUCUUCUUCCUGCGCUUCAUUUUUCCCUUUUCUUUCUCUGCUUCUGCCAUUUCGUUAUCCACACUCCAUACAUUCUCCUUCCCCCCCGCCGCCGCCUGCUUCACUAAUAUCAAUCUUCCCCUAUCAUUCAAUUUCCGAUCAUUGCCAUCAAAAUUGCACGACAUUGAGGGGUAAGAAUUGAAUUUACGAGCUGAUGAAAAUGAUGUUGAAGAAGGAGAGGAAGAAGGGUAGAAAGCGUGGUGUUGAUGUGUGAAGCCAGUGAUGGUUUUGCAGGCAUUUAUACAAGGAGAUUGCAUUUCUCAAGGAAUUUAAUCGGAUUGAUUGAAUUGGUUUCUAGGGUUUUAGGAUUUUGGGAAAGUUGAAUUCAAUUUGUUGUGGCGAGACUUCUCUCGAACUGUCAUUGAAGGGAAAAAUUGACAAAAAAAAAAAAAAAAAAAAGGAAUGAAGAAAACGAAAAAAAAAAAAAAAGGGAAAAAUGAGUUUUCUGCAGUCUUCGCUGGUGCAGGUGUGUGAUGGGGACCACAGGUUUAUCUGGAUUCACAAGUAAUACUGGCGUAAUUUGAAAUUUAUUUAUGAUCCAAAAGAGAAAAAAAAAAAAAGAGUAAGAGCCUAUUAUUGUGAAACAAAAUUUUCAAUUUUAAUGUCUUUAGUUAAAUCCAGUUUCUUCCUUUUUUUUUUUUUGAGGAAUAAAUCCAGUUUCUUUACAAUUCAAGUGACAAUAAUAUCUCUUAUGUUUUAUACUUUUCUACAUGAAUUAAAAUACACAAUGAUCACAUAUUUCUCAUUAUCCUACAAUUACAUUAUGGAGUAACCCAAAUGAUCUGCGGGCUGGCUUAAAUAUAUGUUUCUCAAUUCCAUUUUAAAAUAAAAUAUACUACAAUAGUACCCAAAAAAAAUUCUUUUUUUUGGGAUAACAUGAGAAUAACCAAAUAGUAGUAUCUUUUAUUUUAAUUCUACGUAUAUUGCACAAGAACAGAUUUUUGUUUUGUUCAAAUCAGGGAAAAGUGUAGGUAAUAAUUAUUUGUAACACUUUUAACUAUCAGACUCGGGAUUCAAAUCCUGAACCUUCAACUUAGAAGUAGAAAGAUAGACAUGUCUUUAACUACGAAAACAGAAACUCGAGAAAAUGUUGCAAAAACCAUGAAAAAUUGCACCAAUCAUGCCAUUGCCAUCAUGCGAACUUGCAUUUGCAUCAUGCAAUAGCCAAUAAAUGGUCCAUCGCAAGUCAAGUUUCAAUUGAAAAUCGUAAAAGUACAAGCCAUGAAAACUGUCCUCUCCAUGCCAUUGCCAUCACAAGGUGUUAAGAAUGCCAACACCAUCUCGAUACAUCUCAAAAUCGACAGUCUACUUCAUCAACCAAACACAUUUCACGUAGACUUGAUAAAAUUAUUUUACUUUCUUAAUAGAACAUACCUGAAUACAUUGCUGCCUAUCUAUAUCUAGAUAUAAAUUAACCAGGUUACAGCCACUGUCUCUAGCCCAGAAAGGAUGAUUGCAAGUUAAAACCGCUAAUGCUAUUAGGAGGAGGCAUGAGAAAGGUAAAAGAGAAUGGCGGCCAUCAACACCGGGAAGACGAGAAAGACAACGGACGGAGGCGGUUGUGGCGGACCGGGAGCCAUCAUCAACGGCACAAACACCAGGCACAUCACCACCAGCAGCAUAAUCACGACGGAGCCCAUCCCCCAACCAUGCCGCUGCUCCACUGCUCUCCCCAUAUUGGUUGCCGACUAGCUGCUGCUAAUUAAUCAGAUGGAUGUUAAUGUAUGAAAUGGUUGAUUGGUACCCUGUGAUUAUUUAUGUAGUUGGUGCCUCUUCCUGGAGAGGACACAACGGUUGGUUUCAGUAUUGGCCACUUUCGGCGGGCUAGGGGUGCAAGAAUUUGCAGGCUGUUGAUGCUAAUUACUGCUUAAAAUUACAAGGUUUCAGUUAAUAUAAUCAGACGCAUCCCUAAUCUCAAACUUUUCCCUCCUUACUAUUUAAUUAUGUCUUCUAAGAAAAUGUUAAUGCCGUAAAUUAGCGACACGACCACAUUGUGCCUAUGUACGUGUCUGCAUUAAUCAUGAGAAGAAUAUAUAUAUAUAUCACCAAAAAAGAUUUUCAGAUUUUUUUUCUUUUUUAAAAUAUUUUAUAAUCCCAUUAGAUAAUCAUUUUCAGAAUUUAUAUCCAGUAGCUGGUUGAAAUGUAUUCAAUAAUGAUAAUGGCCUAUAAGUUAAAUGAUUGAAGUUGUUACAAAUGUAAGGUUUAAAAACAUUUUAUUUCGCUAUGAAAAUCAAAUGAUAUAAAUUUUAACUUGAGUAUAUGAUAUUCAAAAGGAACUAGGCUGCUAAAUACAAAUGGGUAUGGUGAGUCGAGCAACCCUCUCAUGAACAAUCUGAAUGGAUGAAGUUGAACAAGAAAACCUAAAGAAACGACAUGGCCCGAUCCUAGAAACAGUCAGGCAUUCGGGCAUAACAUAUACACCCUCUGUUCUAUUUUGAUAGUUCUCGUUUUUUUUCACACAGUUUAAGAAAAAGUAAUUAAUUUUGUAGGAAAAACAAAUUUAGAUUGCUAUUUUUCUAAAAUACUCUUACAUUAAAUAAAGUUGGCUUUUCAUAUAUCAACAUGUUUUGAAAAAUCUAAAUGCAUUAAAUGGGGUAGGUUAUAUUCAAUAUUAACAAUCUAUAUUAAAUAAGGUAGUUUAUAGUAAUAACAACUUACAUUGAAUAAGGGUAUUUUAGAGAAAUUAAAAGACACCUACAUUCUUCAAUUGGAAGAUGGAUUACAAUUUGGGACAGACGAAAAGGAAAACAUGACUAUUAAAAUGGGACGGAGGGAGUAUGAGAAAUACACAAAAAGCACUACAAAUUUGUUUAUCGUAUCCAAAGGUGCAUCAACAGUUCAAAGAAAGGACAAUUUGUUUGCAAACUUAUCAGCAAUUUUACCAUGCUUGUGAUUCGUGUUUACAGCUUCUUCGAGUGGUGCUAAACAAUUCUUGGAAAAAUUGAUUCAAAUGCUAAAAACUGGUGCUAUCUGAGCUCUCCAAAACCACACUAUAGAGCCAUGGCAGUAGAACAAAAGUCAAGGUACACCGUGAUGCACCCCUUCACCAUCAUAUAUGGCUGAAUAACCUCGUCACGUGCAACAAAUGGUAGUACCUAGAUUAAUUAUACAGCUAGUUUGUUAGAUUUGGUUGACAGUAAUAGAAGUAAAAAAAAAAAAAAGAAGAAGACAUGCUCACCAGCAGCAAGACAACAGGUAAAUAAUGGAAAGAAAAUCGGUGUAAAAGCUGAAAGGAUGUGGUGAAUGGUUGCCAUCCUUACAGUUACGGACAACCAUGUCCUGGCUAUAUGCCGCUACGUACAAAGUCAGCCGCAGAAUGCAGAUACCAAGACUGAAACAGAUUCAGGAGCUCAUAUAUACUUCACUAUAUUGUUUCAUGUUAAGUGGAAAAUUUUAUAUUGGUUCGGAGUAGUUGCUCUAAAACCAAUGCAAGAGUUCUACGUGAAUAUGUAAGGGUUUCACAUAGUUCCAUUUAACGUAUCAAAUAGAUUCCACUUAGCAUAUGAACUUGCAAGUGAGAUAUUUAUACACAUAUCAUGUGGAACUUUCUCAUUGAUUCUGAACCAACUACCAUGCAUGUGUCAAGUAAUUGCUACGGAUCGACAUAAAAAAUCUCUCCGAAUUAAGUAUUGAGAUUUUCUAAGUAGUGAUUAAUGCAUGACAUCAUGUCAUAUCUACUGGUAAUUAGAACUUUAAAAUGUCUUGCAUUAAAAAAAAUUUCUAAGACAAUAUGUUGCUUUUCCAAAUUUUUCAUUGUUUGGAUAUGUCACAAGGAAAACAAAAUUUCCACUCUUUGGAUAUCUCACAAGGAAAACGACUCAGACCUUUCCGUCAAUCAUAGUAUAUGUCUGUCUUGCUGCAAUUGAUUCUAGUAAUGGUCAAUCAUAGUAAACACUAUGUCAUUCUUAGCAGACCUAUUGUAGGAAUGUAGGGGCAUCUGCAGCAUAUUGAUGUCGUAUGCAGUAGCAUUCUGCCAAGAAUAAUUGGACGGCUCACAGUCAUCCAGUUAUAAUUAAUUUUCCUCGACUUUUUCUGCUGCUCUUUGUCAUUCGGUUCUCAUCUUGGUGAGCAUUUGUAGUUUUUCAGUAACUUCACUCAUUAACGGAAAUAGCAAACGUCUUGUGGCGUUAUAUGUUGCAGCUGAGGAGCUUAUUCCAUUGUAGGCCUGUCAAUCGGCCUAAUGAGUCGGGUUUUGAUGAGUUCAAACUCAACUCAUUUAAUUUGAUACAUUGUCGGGUUUCGGGCUAUGAGUUUCGGGUUCAUAAAUGUGAAACUCAUACUCAACUCACAUAAUAUUCGGGUUGUGAGUCUUAAUCGGGCUUAGCCCAAGCUCACUUAUUACUCCUUAAUUUUCUUAAUAUAAUUACUAUAACUAUUAAGUUGUAAAACUAAUUUAACAUUUACAAGACUAUUAUAUUAAAACUAAACAUGAACAAAUAAUAGUUCUUAACAAGUAUAUAAACCAAAAUUUUUUUCAAUAAUAUUUAUAUUUAAUUCGUUCAAAAUGCAUGAAAAAUAGUAAUAAAACAUGUGAUCAUAAGCCAAUAUAUCUUUAAAAGUUGAAACUUUUUUUAUAAUCUUGUGAUUUAAAUCCAAAUAUGCUUGAUGAUUUUUGUGUUUGUAGACCAAAAAGAAAUCAACCAAUAUUAUGCUAAUAUAAAAAUUUACUCAACCAAUAAGAAAAGUUAGAGAUUUAGUUAUGCAUUACUAAUAUUGGCUCUCAAGAAAGCUCAUGAAAGAGUCUUUAGAUGUAUUUUUGUGUUUUAUAAUUUAUAUAUAUAUAUUUAGUAUUUAGUAAUAAUAUAUUUGGAUAUAUAAUUAUACAUAAUAUCAAAAUAUAAAUAUUAUAUAUAUAUAUAGGUAAUUAAAGGGUCGGGCCUAUAUCGGGUUUGAGCUUAAUAAGGCCCAAACUCGACUCAUAUUUAAUUCGGGCCUACUUUUUAGGCUCAAGUUCAGACCAGCUCACUAAAUGAUCGGGCCUAUCGGAAUUUCUGUCGGGCCGAAUGAGCCGAGCUCGGGCUGGCCCAGCCCCAUUGACAGUCCUAUUCCAUUGUGGUGACAGGAUGCGCCUCCUCUCAUAGAAGAAAUUUGAAGUCUUUCAUAAAAAUAGCCUUGAGGAACUCGACAAGUUGAAGCCAUUGAUUCUUCAUGAAACAAUUCUGUCCACAUUCAUUCUUGAAGCGCUUAUAACUGUCGAUAUCACUUGACAUGCUUCAUGCAAAUGCUAAUAGCUUGCAUGCAACACUGUUAACAUAUUUGUUGUUAGGCGUGUAAACAAGGUUAAUCAAAUGGAACACGCAAGUGUUCAAAUUUGUUUAAUUAUUUUAACGAGUUCGAAAUUUUGUUCAAAUUUAAUUUGUUUAUUUUUCGAAUUGAGAUUAUACGAGAUUUCUAUCGAAUUUGAAUAUUAUUGAACAUCAAAACGCUGUUCAAAUUUAACUUAAAUAAUUAGCAAGUAGUUUGGUUCGUUCGUUCUUAUUUGUUGUGAAACGUGGAUCUUUUCCUGUUCACUAGUUUUUUGGUGCAGAAAAGAAUUGCCGCUUUUAUUUUCUUCUCCUGUAGCUCCUAUAGACUUUAUUCAAGCUCGGCCCAAAUUAUUGACUGCAUGAUUGAUAUUUCAAUCCAAGCCCAAAAUGGGAAGGUGGAGAGCUCCCUCGAAAGCCCAGCCAGUAGAAUUGAUGGGGUACUUUUUCAUUUGAGCAAAAAGGGGCAAAAAAAAAAAAACUAACAAUUCUAUAAAUUCAAUCACUUGUAGCAUAAACGAUCUUUGUAUCAAUUUUAUGGAUUUUCCUAACAAGGUAUACAACACAAGUAUACAAUCAUCCUAAUAAGAGCAUGUUGCGUAGAUGACAAUAUGUAAGUGGUUCAUUAACAUGUUAGCUUCGCUCCAAGCGCAUAGAGGUACGGUCAGUAGCUUCGCGCAAGCACGUAGAUUGAUAUGUUGCAUGCAUUUUUUCUUUUAAAACGUCUUUCACACGUUGAAAAUUUAGAUUGGAAUUAAAUUUUAAAAACUUGAUUUUAUAAAGAACAUAAAGUUAGUAUUUUAAGCGCUUGAUUUUGCGAGGACACUGAUUCCAGGCAGUGGAAAAGAAAAGGAAAUGAGGAAAAGAGGUGAAGUUGAUUGGUCCAGAAACCUAUCUUGGAAUUUCUGAUAAGCUUCCAAAAGGUGUUUGGCAUAGAUUCCCAUGCCAAACCUUUUUUUCUAAAUUUUAAUAAUUAUCAGCCAACGAUUUUGUAAUCUAGAAAAGUGAGACACCUUUUCUUUGAUCCACGGUAGAAGAAUCCCCUUUAAGGCUCAAGUCUCCGUUAAAGUUGCAUAAGAAUCGAAAGAGUCCACGACAUCCAUUAAUGCCCAAAAUCCUCAGAAGUAGGGCCUUAUAGGUCGCUCGGUCGUCGUCUUCUGCCUUGUCAGCUUGAUUGUUGAUACCCGGAUUAUAGGCGACAUCUGUUAACAGGAAUUGACAUGAAUUUCACUCAUUUCUCUCCGCCCGGCAACAAUUUCUUUAUUUUUAAUGAUCGGGGCCCAUAUUUCUUUUUAGGCUUCAAAAGUUGCCUAAACUAAUGGUUGGAGUUAGAAAAAAAUCUUAGUAGGGGCAAAAAUAAUAAUAAAAUUUUUUAUCUAUUCUUUUUCUAGUUUUUUAAGCAAAAAAAUAAAUAAAUUCACCAACAAGUACAAAUGAUACGUAUAUUCCAUGAAAAAUAUAAAAAGACAAACUUAAAAUUAUUAAUGUAAUAAUAAUUUUAUUUCAAAAAUAAACUAAACUAUUUACAAUUGCUCACGACGAGUUUUCGUAUUUUGAUAAUGGUUUAUAACUUUCUCAUUUUGAAUUUCACGAAGUAUAUUUUUCUCAAUAUAAAUAACUAAACUAAAUUUUGUGACCAAUUCUUUCACAUCUUUUCUAAAAAAACUAUAGGGGCACACUUAAAAUUAUGUCAAAAUUGUACAAGUAUCAUAGAAAUUUAAGGGCAGUGGGGGCUCGUGCCCCCACCUUAAAUCUGCCCCUGGUUUGGGAGUUUAUGAAAGAAAAAAAGAAGAAAAGAAUAGAAACCUUAAGUUAGAAAAGAAAAGAGUAGAAUAGAAAGGAUUUUAAUAUCUUUCUGUGUUAUUUGAGAGUUUUGGAGGAAAAAGAGAAUGAAGUAAUUUUCCUUUGUCUGGAAGUGGACAAGAGUGAAAAGAAAAUAUUGUGUUAUACAUAAAGGAAGGGAAAUUAGAUUCGAUUGCAACGAGUUUUGAAUCAAAUGGCGAUUGUUUAACAAGUGCCAAGUUGUAACCAAAAUACACAUGUAUUACUCUUACACAGAUUUACGGGGUUACAAUGAUUCAUCUAAAUGGAAGAUAUGUUGGAACGCGUCUUUAUUUGUAAUUGAUUUUUCAGAUCUUUAUUUGGAUUUCUGCCAUUGGUACAGAUUUAUUGAAUGAAAUGAUUUCUUCUAUUAAAAAAAAUCUUUUCUUACACUGUCAAUAUAACAUUUUUUUAUAAAUAUAUAAGUAAUAUUGGGUGCAUGGUAUAUAUAUAAAAAUAAAUUUUGAAAAUUAAAUGAAUUUUAUUUAUCCUACAUCUGCCCCUAUUAAUAUAAAAACUUUUGCAUAGAUGGUAUAGGAAGGGAUAAUCCAAUUUGUUAUAGUUCCUUUACGAAUUUUUCUAGCUAAGGUUUUGAUUUCGUGCAAAGGGAAAGAGAGAAUUUUGUUAUCAAGUGGUUUGGAGACUAGUAUCUAGCAUGAAUGAUAAUUUUGAAGUUUAAAAAAAAGAAAAAAAAGAAAAAGGGAUCGUUGUAGCUAGUUUUGUUUUUAAACGAAUUUACAAAAGAUUAUGGAGUUUAGAGGAUUUGAGAUUGGAUAGCUAAUUCCUAUACUAGAUCAAUGGAACCUUAAUUUAGCUAAUUCUAGUUCAUAGAAGACUGUGAAUCCGGUUCAUUUUCUCCGCUGUUCUUGUACGUGGUCAAAUAGUUUGACAGAUAUGUGGUGGACUUGGACAUCUAAAUUAGGUCAUUGGUAUUAAAACUCAUCUCUUCUUACAAAAUUCUAGUGCUUUGUGUUGGACAUUCUUCAUCUGACUCAAAACUAACUACUAGAAAAGAAAACUGAGAAUUUUUUAAGGAAUGAAUUGAUGAUCUCCACUUCACCACGUUAAAUGUUGGCCACCAGGUGCAUUUCUCACUGUCCAAAGCAACAGAAUAUAUAUAGAAUGGAAAAUCCCAAGACCUCAAUUGUUGGUAGUAGGUGCAAGCAAACAUGAGGGGCACAUCUAAUUAAUCUCAUCAGUUUGACUGAAUCUAAAUACCUAAUCCAGAUUCAAAAGCUUAUAUAUGUUUUUCUUAAACUGUGUCGUAUUUUGCCAGUUAGAUAUAAAUGGUUGUACUUGUACCCAAAAACUAGCCUACUUUCCCCCAAAAGCCUGGAUACUCUUGGAUGCUCAUAAGCUGCUCUAUAACCAAAUAGAGCAUAUUUCCAAUACACCUUUUUAUUUUCUCAAUAUCUGCUCUAGUGGUUUGUUUGGAUUGCUUCAUAUUUCCCCAAUUUUAUUUACUUACAUCAUCUUUACAAUUUCCAAUACACCUUUUUAUCUUCCCAAUAUCUUUUUAUCUCACAUACAUCACAUCACAAAAAGUGCUACAGUAAAAAUAUCCCAAAUAAUCCCAAAUAACUUACAAUCCAAACAGUAGCGAAAAAGUUUUUUUUUUUUUAAUUUGGGUUUGAAAUAUCACGUCCUUUAAUUCAGCUAUGUCGAUCUUUUUUUUAAAAAAAUUUAUUCAUGAGAUAUUUCAAAUAUUACAAAUGGAAAGAAAAGGGGGGGGGGGAAAGAAAAGGUUUCGGAGUUAACUAAAAACUUAUCAUUAAUAUGAUCUUGUAAGCUAAAUUAGGGGGUUUUGGAAUUGUAACCCGAUUCAUAAAUUUGCGAAUGUAUUUGAAGAAUUGUAGUACUUGGAAUUCUUAAUACUUUGAGGUGUCACUAUUUGAUGUGACUCUCCCAUGAGACGUUUUAUCUUUAAGAGUGUCGGCACUCGAUUGAUUAGCUAAUGUGCAUGAAUAGAGAGAAUGUGAAGAAAUGUUUACUAAGAGCGUUCAAUUCAAGUACUUAGGCCAGAAAUUAAAAGUUUUGAGUUUUAAUUCUCCUACCUUUUUCCAAAAUUUUAAAUCUCACUCUUAGCUUGCUAGGGAUCAUACUAGGAUCCAAGAAUCCACGAAGUGCUUUGUUUAAUUCAUCAGACUCGAUUACUACGACGAGAUCUGUAGCCAAUUAAUUAUUAUGUAAUCCCCCUAAUUUUGGUUUAUACCACCCUAUAGGAAGAAUAUAUUUCUGGUGAGAUCUCAUGAUAUAUAUAUAUAUGGAAAUUAGAUGUACCCAAUUGUUUGGUCUCUUCAAGGAAAACUGGAAAAGUAGUGAUGUGAUGCCUAUUGUUAAAUCUUUUUGGAAAGUUGAUGCAAACUGUUGAUCCAAAAGAAGUACUAGAAAAAUAGGCUGCUUUAAAGUUAGUUUGGUAAAACUAAAAGUGGAUAUAACGGUCAUGCUGGAUUUUUUACGAUUGAAACUACACAAUACAUUAUCGCUGUCUAUUACAUAGUCUUUUUUUUGUCGGACUAAGUAUUAAUAGAUCAAAAAAAAAAAAGAUUUAGAAUCAUAAUGGUUUAAGGAAAAAAGUAACAUCGUGCGGGGUUAACACUUAACACCUAUUUUCUUAGACGCUAAAAAAUCUUAAUAUUUGUCUAAGAUAAAUCUUAGGCCCCAUUCGGAGUGUCGGCCAGCGGUGGAUUGAGGUGGGGGAGGAAGAAAAGAAGAAAAAGAAAGAAAAAAAUUGUGUGUAUUUUUAAAAUUUGGAGUGUGUAUAUUAAAAAUUUUGGAGUGUUUUUAGAAGGUUAUUGUAAACACAAUUAUAUUUUAAAAAAAAAAAAAACUUACCUAUCAAAAACAUGGCAAAAAACUUGGGCGCCAAACAAGACCUUGUACUUAAAGAAAAGUAAGAUUUAGAUCUUGUUUGAUAAUCUAAUUUAAUAUUUAAACUUAAUUGAUUCAUAUCUUAACUGUUUAAACGUUUGAUAACCAAAAAUUGAAUAUCUGAAUUCAUAAAUGACACUAAAUUUUCUCUAAAUAAGCGAUAAGUUAUUUAUUUAUCAUUUAAUGUGAUAUACACUCAAAUAUAUUAGAUUUAGUACUUAAUAAUUCAAUAAUUUAAUAGAAUCAGAUUUUAGAUUUUAAAUUUCAAUUUUCAAAUUUCAAUUUAUCAAACGUACCCUUAAAGUUUAAAUGGCACAAGUUGUUCGCCUCUUGUACUUGAAACUCUUAAGGAAUAUUUUUAACACAUUAGUACAAUCUCUCAUGAACAACUCCAAGACAUAUUACAUGCAUUGGCAAUUUUUUUUUCACCUGUGAUUUAUACCGUGUAACAGUCUACAAAAGCCUACAUGAAAAUACAAUAAUGCUUUUCUGACCCUUUGUGGUUGUGGAUUCAAAGCAUUCGAUGUGUUUUUACAAGGACUUUCCUGUUAAUUAUUUCAGUCUAUAUGCAAAAUGCCUUACCAAGCGGCCCUGCAUUGCAAGGUGCUCUGCACUUGUUUUCUAAGUGAAAUCUUAUUUUGGAUAUGAGAUAACAAUUAUAUUUCUCAAAAAUAAUUAUUAAUUCUAUCGUACAGUUGUCAUGUACUGAUAUUAAAAGUAAGACCAAAUAAAUAGGAUCAAACUGUUUUGCCCCUGAAAAAAAAAUGAUCAUUUGUUGGUCAAGUGAUGAAUUCAAGAUAAAAAAAAUUGUCAAAAAUUUAGGUUGAAAUCAAAUUUUAUUAACUUGAUUUUGUAAGAGACGUAAAAUUAUUAUACAUAUAUGAUGUUGAUUUGUUUCUCGAAUUAUUUUGAAACUUUGUCCCUUUUCAAUUGUAAACGUUUCUAUAUAGGUAAAUAUACACAAUAAAAGAUGUUUGCCUAUUUUGAUAAACAAAAUCAUGAACAAAAAAUUUCAAAGGCUGGAGGACCUAUUGAUCAAUACCCGACAAUACUAUACCAAAAUUGAAGAUAGUAUAUGGGAACAGUAAAUAGGAGGAGAAGAAAAGGGGAUUUUGGUUUUUCCAUUUUCUUCCCCUUUUUAUUAAAUGUGGUAUACUGGUGGGGGCCAAAGUGUUGGUCAGCUGCAGAGGCCCUUGAUUUCAACGCAAUGAUAUUGACACUUUUAAGAGCCUCCAAGAACCUUGUAGCUCCGUAGCUUUCGCCACAGAUACUGCCGUCUUCCUUCACAGUUGCCAAUGUGCCACGAGUGCCGGACUCCCAAUUCGCUAUACAAAUUCUAAUUUUUAAAAUAAAAGGUUAGUAUUUCAAUACUUUGAGAUAGGGAAAAGAAAUAAAAAUGGCCAAAUUAAUGAAUUAUGGCUCUUCAUUUGAAGAACCUUUAGGCUUAGUUUGGGAGUUUAGGAUAGAAAAGAAAAGAACGGAAAGCUUAAGUUAUGAAAGAAGAGAAGAGAAGGGAAGAGAUUGUUAUGUUGUUUGGGAGUUUUGAGAAUUAGUGGAAUGAUUUUGGACAUAGAAGUCAUUAAAUAUUUGUUCAAAACCUUUUUAAGAACAAAAUAGGCGUUUUAUAAAAAAUAUCAAGCUUUCUCCAAACUUUCUUCCCAUUUCUUUCCGAUUUGGGAGGAAGCAUUUUCAUAACUAUUCAUCCUUCCAUUUCUUUUCUUUUCUUUCCUAUUUAAAACUAACAAAUGAAGCAAAAGUAAACUUUCUCUUCUUUCCCUUUCUUUUCUAUCCAAAUCUUCCACUCCCAAACGAAUCCUUAGGCUAGAUAGCGCUUAUCAUAGAAGUUGAUCGUUUAUAACGUAGUGUGCUACUUAACAAUGCAUUAGAUGCUCUAGAAAGCACAAGUUGACGUUUUGCAACCCCCCUAUUCCCUGGGGGGAAAAUAAAUUAAGGAUCUGGAAUGCUGGUAUUAAUCUUCUUUCUCUUUUUUGAUUUUUUGAUGGGAAAAUGUGUUUGGAUAGGAGAUUAUUUGCAAUAAUUACUGUAACACUUUUUGUGAUAUGUGUAUGUGAGAUAAAAAAAUAAUUGGGAAGAUAAAAAGAUGUGUUGGAAAUUGUAUUUGUGAUGUAAGCAAAUAAAUUUUGAUCAUUAUUUGGCUAUCCAAACACACUCACUGUACUAUCUUACUUAAUAAUGGCACUAUUUUUUACCACAUAAAUGAGAUAAAAGACAACUAUUUGCCUGAACUUUAAACUAUUUCCUUAGCACUCUUUUGAUCUCUCAAUAAUGUAUUAUUGCAAAUAAGCCAUGAACAAAAAAGUAUUACAUUUAAGGAUUUUGAUCAAAUCGCCGGAAGGGUUGAAAGUAUACAAAUUCAAUGGUUCGGCAUCUAUUCUGAGCUUUAAUUUAAAUUAGUGGUCAAAACUUGAUAAUAAAAAUAGUUUAAAGAAAACCUAUAUACUUUACUAUUAAGAAAUUAUUGUAUUUGAUCAAUUUUACAUCUCGUUCUGUUAGCACUAACGGCUAAAUUUGAUGAAAAUAUUUAAACGUGACUUUUUUUUGGUUGAGGGGUUUGCUUGGAACAAUAUAUUAUUGAGGGACUAAAAGAGAGCAAUGGAAAUAGUCUAAGGGCAGGACGGAUAGUUUCCUCAUAAGAUAAAGGUACCACUGUUAUCUUCCAUAGAAUUUACAAUUAUAAUUUUUUAUUAUAAACUUGUAAUUAAAAUAAAUAAUAGGGACAUGUUCGUCCUUUUAUACGAGUUAAAAAAAAAGUAAAAAAUAAAACCAUUAAUAACUAAGGAAGUACGAUUAACAUUUCACUUCCUGACGAGCACUAAAUGAGUAAUCCUCAAAUUUGAUUUGACUAGCAGCAUAUUACUCCAUAGUUGCAUAUGGUCGUCGUCUAGCUAGCUGCAUUACGUUACAGUAUACCCCAUAUUGGACAACAAAAUGCUAUGCACAUGAAAGUCGUAAAACACACAGAAUUUCAUUGUUCUGGGUGCUUUAUUAUAUAGUACUAGUUAUAUUUGGGGAAAGGGAUGUAUCGGACCUUCUUUCAUGCUAUUAACUUCUCUCUUUCUCCAUAAAGAAAGCCCCUUUAAAAGGCAUGUAGGAAUACUUCAUAUUCAUGCAGAUGCAUGUUGCAGUGGGAAGAGUUUCCUCGUAAGCAAAGCAAACCCCAGCCCUGUUAAGUGUUAUGAUCAUGAACCAUUAAUAGGAGUAGAAUUUAGUAAGUUUGGAGAGCGAGCCAUGCGCGUAGGCCAUGACAAUUAUGAGUAUAAAGGUGUGUUCCUCAAUGCUCAUCAUUCAUGUAACCACAAGCAAAGUACAAAAUCGAUGUUUGUUGAAUGGGGUCAGGACUUAAAUGAACUCUUACCAUCAUGCCAUGGUCCACGUUUGCCAACAUCCCAUGUGACCCAUUUUUUGCCCAUCUUUUCCAAGAGGGGUUUGAUGUCCUCGCGAUUGACUAAUGCCUGCUUAUUUAUGCUUUCUGAUUUCUCAUCAGAAAAGCUUUGGCAGUUCAUCUUGAGAGAGCAAUGCAUUAUUUAGGUUUCAGUCGCUUUUUUCACUUGAUCUGACGGCAAAGCUAGGACGUUCUAAUGUUGAAAUUCAGGCUUGAUACAAGUCAUUUCAUUUCAUGGUUGUAACCGGUUCACUUUCCCCCUAUUAUUGCCUUUAGUCUUUAACCAAGCUUCUUGAUCUCUUGUAAUACUAAAGUAAUAGCAAUAUGUUUUGGAGAAUGGUGAUCAGUGGCUAAUGAUUCAGCGCAUAGUCCUCCAUUUGAGGAUUAUGACCCAAAAGAAAGGGGGAAAAAAAAGAGGAGUACCUGAGAGGAUAAUCUAUUUUUUUGGCUUGGACCUUGGUGUCAUGCACCUAGAUUUUUUCGUUUUGUUUUUUUUUUCAUGCUUUCAUGCACCUAGAUUUGGUUUCCGAGAACAUCUAGAUUCAAAACAUAGACCAAUAAUGCAACCUAUAUGUUGGUGACCUUCGCGAUCACAUUGCUUUCGCUCGCUACUUGUAGUCUUACUAUUGGGGAUUGUCUUUAUAUUACAAGAAAACUCCUUCCGUUUUAUUUAUAUUACAAGAAAACUCCUUCCAUUUUAUUGAAAGUAUAAUACUUUUCAUUUUGGUAUGUCUUAAAAUGUUGUCGUCCUAUCAAAGUCAAUGUUAUUUGAUCUUUUUUUUUAAUAUUAUCUCUACCUUUAUCUAUAUUUUAUAAUAAAUUCAAAUUUUUGAAGGUAAUUUUGAAAAUUACUAAUAUUACCAUCAAAUCACUAUUUUUAAAAAGUUAGAAUCCCGAAAUGCAACAAAGAAUUUAGAAUGGAGGGAGUGUUAUUUACUAACAUCACGUAGAUUUUCUAUCAUAAUACAAGAUAUGAUAAAAACAGGGCUUGUGCUUAAUACGAAUACGAAUUGACACAAGCCACACUAUACCCUUAAUAUUGUGAUAAUCCAAGCACAAAACUAAGGAUGUGUUUGAUAAAAUUGAAAUCUGAAAUCUGAAUAUAUUAAAUUAUUGAACUGUUAAGUACUAAAUUUGACACAUUUGAUUAUAUAUCGCAUUAAGUGAUAAGUAAACAGCUUAUCACUUAUUUUUUUUAGAGCAAAUUUUGUCUAGAAAAUUCAGUACCAUUUAAUUAAUGCAAAUGUUCAAUUUCAGUUAUUAAACGCAUCGGAGCAUAUUAAAAUUUGAAUUCAUUAAGUUUAAGUGUUAAGUGAGAUUAUCAAACAAGCCUUAGCUAGUAAAUUGAAAGAUGGAUUCCUAGGGCUUGCGCUAGCAGAUAGGAUUGAAAUGUGGUUCAAAUUUUGAUUCCUUUUUUUUUUCCUUUAAACUGAGCAAUGUCCGAUUCUUGUUGAUUAUAAAUCUUAUACUUUUGUAAUAUUGGUUAUUGUCUACCUGUGCAUUUGCCUAAGUUAAGAGUCGACUAAUUCACCCCAAGCUUGGUUAAUAUAAUUUGAGGAAUCUCGAAUUUGACAAAGGAAGGAGGGUAUAAUAGGCUUGCCUUCCCACAUUAUCGAUGAUGAAAGAAAUUUGAAACAAGAACUAGAAUUAACCAAUUCAAGAUUAUUUAUUUUUUGAACUUUUCCUUAAUGAUGUCUAAUAAAACAGAUAAAUGAUAUAAAAACUAUUUUUUGGCCCAGUAAAAUGGGAAAUGGGCAAUUAGUGCAGCUCUUGCUAAAAUUCCUGCUGAAGUGUACUUGAACUACAGUCCUCGUUACUAUACCAUUGCUUUGUGCGUGCUAUUUCGGGCACAAGGAGAAAACUUCAUUGGACGAGUCUUUGUCAACUAAAUUACCAUCUUAGUAACACUAUCAUACGUGUCCAUUGGUAUACCUGCAUAGAGGAAAAGUACAACUCGCACAUUUUGUGGACUAUAAAUUUCAUGGUACGCGCACUCAAAUUCUUACAAAUUCGAUUUUAUUACUAUGUCUAUUUGUUUCAAGAUCACUCUUUCAUGACUAUAUAGAAAACGAGCUAAAGUAAGGCUCUGUUUGGAUUUUUUAUUUUUUGAAAAAUAAGUUUUUCAUAUAUAAUAUCACAGUAAUAUACAAACAAAAAUAAUUCAAAAAUACCACAUCCAUACAAUAUAUCAAUAAUAACUCCAAAUAUAUAAACAAAAAAAAUUAAAAAAUGAAAUCUACAUCAUCUUCUUCUUUUACCCACCACUGCCACCCUUAUCCACCGCCACCAUCCCAUCCUUACUCUCCUCCUCCCUUCGCCUUCCCCUUUCCCUUUCGCGCCACACCCCACCUCUUCCCUUCCUCCCCAAUUGGUCUCGACCAGAUUGGAGAGGGGAGGGGGCGGGGUGUGGCUAGAAAGGGGAGGAGAGAAGAAAUUGAGGAGAAGGAAAAGGGAGGGAGGAGGAAAGAAAGAGAGGAUGGUGAUGGUGGUGGGUAGUAGCAGUGGGUGGUAGUGUUAAUUUUUAAAAAAUACAUAUUUUAAAAAUUUUUAAAAGUUUAAAAAUACCCUAAAAUAUAUCCUAAUAACAUCAACAUUAAAAGUUUUUCACAUAUAUUAUUAUAGUAAAAUAUUUCAAAAAUACUUCCAAAAAUAGCUAAUCCAAAUAGAGCCAUAUGAAAAAAAAUUAUAGAAUUAGAGGUUUUGACGUAUUUUAGUAAAGUUUAUGGGACGUAACUAGAAUAUACUCAAAGAUAUGAGAUAGAAGGAUUAGAGGAAGGAGCAUGUGAGAAGCCACACAAAGAAAGCUACUUUUUUAAGUUCCUCCCGCUUUUGAGCUCUUUUUCCUUUUGGUAGUUUGGCUUUGGCACACGCUUUAUACUUUUCGGGCCAACGGAUCAGAUCCACUCACUAGCUACUCGUCCUAGAGUCUUAGCAAAUUAACAACUAGUUAACUACUAAUUACUAGUAUAUUAUUAAUAUUGCUAAAAGGUGCUGAAUAUUAAUAUAUAUAAGUCGCAUUUUGUUUGAUAAACCAAUUUGAACUAACAGUUCUUCCCCUUCAAAUAAAGUUUUCCUUAAAUAUUGCAUUUCAAGAAAUCAAAUUAUUAGAUGUGCAUUUUAUCAGCAAAGCAGUUUUAAACUUAAUUGAAAAGUUUUUUAAAUACUACAUAUUGAGAUGUUCUGAGGGACAUGUUCUUUUUUCUUUUCAUAUGAAUAUAUUUUUCUGUAAUUUUAAACCUUGUAACCAUGAUUCUAAUACUUCUUAAGUAUGAACACGUCCUUAACCACACAAACACUAACAAGUGAUAAAAAUUCGAACAUAUUUUUCAUACAUUAAGUAAUAACAUAUAAGGUUCCUUCUAAAUUUGAUUUCAAACCUUAAGUAGGAGAUAAGAGAUGGGCCACUAUUUAGUUGUUUCUAAAAUUUUGAAUUUUCUUUGCUAAAAUUAAUGGAGCUAGAAAACAAUGCUAGAUUUUUAUACUAUACUCGCCCUUCUAAAUUGGACCAAAAAAAAAAAAACAAGAACCCUUCUAUUUUGUGUGCUCAAAGGGUACAGGGUACAAGAAAAACAUAACUCAAACGUAAAUAUACACAAAUAAUAGUUAAAACAAACAAAUCUCGACCUUUUUCUUUUUCAAAAUAUCAUUCGAUAAUUGUUUAUGAUUUGAUCUGUCACAAAAAGUUAAAGGAUCUGUCAAACGGGUACCCAUUAAGAUAUGUCUCAGGUAUCAUAUUUUUUUUUGAAACAUAAUGGGUCCGUUUGGAUUCUUGUUUUUGGACCUGUUUUUGAAAAACUGUUUUUCACAAUCCAAAUGCUACAGUAAAUGUGUAUUUCAAAAACAACUCCAAAAACACCAAUAUCCAAACAAUAUAUCAAAAACAACUCCAAAUACAUAUUUAAUAUGUUUAUUUCAACUUAUAUAUUUCAAUUAUGUAUAGAAUAUAUAUAUAUUAUAUUAAUUUAAAUAUAUUUAUUUAUACAUAUUAUAAAUAUUUUACUUUAUAUAAAAUAUAUUUUUAUAUAUUUAUAUAAAUUAUAUAAAUUAUAUAAAUUAUAUAUAUUAUAAAUAUGUUAUUAUACAUUUAUAUAAAUGUUAUAUAUUAUAUAUAUUUAAUAUAUACAUAAUAUAUAUUAUAUAUAUUGAACAUUUAUAUAAAUGUACAUUUAAACAUAAUAUAUAUAUUUAUGUAUAUUUAUAAUAUACAUUUAUAUUAUGUAUUAUAUAUAAUAUAAUACAUUUAUACAUUUAUAUUAAUAUACAUAAUAUUAAUUACACAUUUAUACAUAAUAUUAAUAAAUGUAUACAUUUACAUUUAUUACAUUAAUACAUUUAUACAUAGUAUUAAUAUAUAUUUAUAAUAUAUUAAUUUAUACAUUUAUAUAAUAUUCAUUUAUAAUUUAUACACAUUUAUAAUAAUAUACAUUUAUAUAUUUAUAAAUAUAUUUAUAUUAUGUAUUAUAUAUAAUAUAAUACACUUAUAAUACAUUUAUAUAUUUAUUUAUAAAUAUAAUAUAUAAUAAAUAAAUAUAAUACACUUAUUUAUUUAUAUAAAAUAUAUAAAUUUAUUUAUAAAUAUAAUAUACUUAUUUAUUUAUACAUAAUAUAUAAAUAUAUUUAUUUAUAAAUAUUUAUAAUUGUAUUAUAAAUGCAUAAAUGUAUAUAAAUAUAAAAACAUAAAAAUUAUAAAUUAUAAAUUAUAAUAUACAUUUAUAUAAUAUUCAUUUAUAAUUUAUACACAUUUAUAAUAAUAUACAUUUAUACAUUUACAAAUAUAUUUAUAUUAUGUAUUAUAUAUAAUAUAAUACACUUAUAAUACAUUUAUAUAUUUAUUUAUAAAUAUAAUAUAUAAUAAAUAAAUAAAUAUAAUACACUUAUUUAUUUAUAUAUAAUAUAUAAAUUUAUUUAUAAAUAUAAUACACUUACUUAUUUAGAAUAAUAUAUAAAUAUAUUUAUUCAUAAAUAUAUAAAUAUAUUUAUUUAUAAAUAUUUAUAAUUGUAUUAUAAAUGCAUAAAUGUAUAUAAAUAUAAAAACAUAAAAAUUAUAAAUUAUAAAUUAUAAUAUACAUUUAUAUAAUAUUCAUUUAUAAUUUAUAUAUUUAUAGUAAUAUACAUUUAAACAUUUAUAAAUAUAUUUAUAUUAUGUAUUAUAUAUAAUAUAAUACAUUUAUAUAUAAAUAUAUGAAUAUAUUUAUUUAUAAAAGUACAAAUAUAUUUAUUUAUAAAUAUUUAAAUAUAUUUAUUUAUAAAUAUUAAUAAAUGUAUUAUAAAUGCAUAAAUGUAUAUAAAUAUAAAAAUAUAAAAAUUAUAAUUUAUAAUUUAUACAUUUAUAUAAUAUUCAUUUAUAAUUUAUACAUUUAUAAAUAUAUUUAUAUUAUGUAUUAUAUAUAAUAUAAUACAUUUAUAUAUUUUUAUAUAAAUUUAUUUAUGUAUAAAUAUUUAUAAAUGUAUAAUUAUAUAUUGUUAUAAAAAUAUAAAAAUUAUAAAUUAUAAAAAUACUCGAAAAUAUGUUUUAAAAAUACAUCUAAAAAUAAUCCAUAAAACAUCUACAGUAAAAGUUUUUUAUAUAAUUUUUGAAAAAUAACCCCAAAAACAAGUAAUCCAAACGGACUUGUAUUUGAAAAACGAAAUGCUAGAGUGCUGUUUUUGAAAAACAACCCCAAAAACAGCUAAUCCAAACGGACCCAAAAUAUUAACGAUUUGUCUAACAGGUGCCCAAUUAAAAUAUAUUUCAGAGUUAUAUUUUUAGAAAUAUAAGAUUAAUUAAGAUAAAUAAAUAAAUACAAGGGAGAAGAGGUAAGAUUAAAUAGGAUAAAUAUAUAAAUGCAAGAAAGGAUAAUAAUUAUUAGUAUGUAUAUGUGUGUGGUAAAUUAGGUAAAUACUAAGUAUAUUAACGAGUACUCUGAGGGUACCAGUUAAAAAAACUCAAUAUAUAAAUACAAAAAAGGUAAUAAUUAUUAAUAUUUGUACAUAAAUGAUAUAUUAGGCGAACAUUAGAUUUUUUUAAUGCUUUGGGCACACAUUAAAAAGAAUCCAAAGUUAAAAACUACUAAAUAGUUGUUUAUUCUAUUAUUCACAAAAGCAGUUUAUUGUAUUAAAAAGUGGAUUAGACUUGAAAUCACAUUGAUUGAUUAAUUAAUUAAUUAAAAUCCAUUUGAUUGACCCUAAAAAUAACGGUCCCAUGAUCAUCUCCCAAAAUUCCCAAUAUUUAGCUCGCAUAAAAUAGUAAACUACACCCCUCCCUGCCCCAUGCCGUGGGCCCCCCCACCCCUCACUCUCCCUUUCUUAACCAACAGUUACACACUAACGCCAUUCCCUCUCUCACACACUCACGCACCAAAACUACUACCCACUCACCACGCAGAGAAACUAUAGUUAACAUCAACCUUCCUCAACGCACGCAGCUAUACUCCCACACCAAUCUGUGUGUGUAUGUAUAUAUACAUAUAUAUAUGUACUCGCCAGCCUAUGCAUACAAGUAAUUUUUCUAUAAAUAUAGACAUCACUGUUACGAACAAGCACACACCUGCGCGCACAAAGAAACAGAUAGAAAGAGAUAGAUAAGAGAGAGAGAGGAGAGUGGAGGAAAUUCUGCGCAUUUGCUUUAAUGGAGUUGAAGUAAGCGUAAAUAAAGAGGCGGUGACGGUGGCGUUGGCGGAUCUUAAACCCUAGCGGAAACGAAAUUGCUCGCCAUUUUCGGCUGUUGAAACGGUUUUUUUACAGCACCGAAUUCUCUAGAUCUUUGGAUUUUGGUGAAUUGUUGACGGCGUUGAAGUUAGUUAUAGUUUCUGUCGCCGGCGGAAUUCGAUAGAGCUGAGCAUUUGUUAAAAGAGGCACAGAUUUGCGGUGACGAUGAGUUUUUUUGUGGUGAAUUUUUUUCUUUGAGGAGAAAUGGUGAUGGAUGAUAGAGGAGGAGGAUCGUUUGUAGCUGUGAGGAGGAUUUCUCAAGGCCUUGAGCGAGGCAGCAACAACACUUGCCAUUCUGGUAUAUUUCCUUUUCUUUUCGUUUUUCUUUUUUGAAAUUUAUGUCGUAUACCGGUAUACGUAUAAAAAUACGUAUACAUGUCGUGCUUAUAUACGUACAGCUGUGGUAAUUAAUUAAGUACCUUUUGUUGUUCACCUAACUUUUUCCUAUAUUACCAUAUGGUCGUUAUUUUUGCUAUCUUCUGAUUAUGUAUGUGCAUGUAUGAGUUGCUUCGAUUGAUGUUAGGAGUAGGAGUAAAAUCUAGAAGUUUGGAUCUGUCAAAUUGAAAUUUAGAUUUGUUGAUGCCUACUUGCAUUGACACUUGUGGUGAGUUUCUGCAGCUACUUGCAGUUUAUGUACUAUUUGUUUAAUCCGAUUACCGUUAUUUUUUAGUUCUUUACAUUUUGAAGGAGUUUACUGACAUUUGGACUCUUUUAGUACUCCCAGUUGAUAGUCAAGUUCCAACCAGAAAAAAUAAUUUGACUGCCAAGUUCAAUAGUAAAUAGCACAACUAAAUGUACUGUAUGGUGAUACAUUAUUAGUACAUUGUUGUGCAGAAAUUAUGUUAAUGUGGGAAGGCAUUUAGCUGAUUCACAGUUAUGUCUCAGUAGCUUGAUGUGUAGGUGGAUUCACAUUGUUCCUGAUUAACAAUUUCAAGUUUGUGUUGUGGCAUUCACAAAAUGAGUCGGAUUGCAAUCUUGAUGUAUUAUCUGGAAAAUGAUCAACCGCUUAAUGUAUGUCUUGAGGAAUAUGGUUCUUAGAUGAUUGCUUGUUGGCUUUUUUCAUGCUCAUAUUGUAUGACAUAGGUUUGCAUUGGGAUCUUAUCUGAGGUGCAUGCAGAUCUUCUGUGGGAUUUCAGUCCCAAUUGUGGUACCAUUAACAGGAAAAUUUUCUUAUUUUUCUGGGAAAAUAGGGUCAAGGAAAUAGUUUUCUCUAAAGAUUUUCUUACUGCAAAGGUGGUUGGCAUACCAAAUAUUUUUCUUGCCACUGUAAUGCAGUAAAAUUUGUUGGGGCUUUCCUGGCUUCAUUGCUGUCUCUGUGUGUGUGUGUGUGUGUGUCUCUCUCUCCCUCUGGGUUGGUUGUCUUGCAUUUUGUAGAACAUGUCAAAGAAUUUUAAAGGGUAUAGUGCAACUUGAAUAUGUUUUAUUGCAGAUGGUCAAUCAGACUUCUGCCCCUGAACACUGUAUUCAACUUGCUGUCUGCAUUUAUCUGUCUUUAUGCUAAGCUCAUGAAUAAUCCUUAGUUCUUCCAAUGAAAGUGUUUCAGAUUGCAUUAACUUUUAGGCAAUUUAAGUACGUUGCAUGUCAGUUUGUCUAAUUACUAUUGCAACAUUUAUUCCUUGGUCAAUUACAUAGCACUGUCAGCUGUCCCCACUGCUUGUAGGGACAAUCAUUCUCAAGAUAUGACCAUGAAGAAACUGAUUUUGAAAUAUAGUGGCAUCGUGUCUUUCUUUGGAUUGAGUUAUCUUUUAGUUAAACUUCGCUUUGUUUUUUACAUGCAAAUUGUUCUUGGUAGUUGCUGUUCUGUGAAAUUCUAGAAAGUGUGAAGCAUUCAAAUCUGGAUUUGUUUGUCCAACCGUUUUGUUUUGUCGCAGCGGAGGUUGUCGCAGGAUCUGCAGCAUGGCUUGGAAGAGGUCUUUCUUGUGUUUGUGCUCAGAGAAGAGAAAGUGAUGCUCGCCCAUCAUUUGAUCUGACACCUGCUCAGGUAAUAACAUCGUGGAUUAAAUAGUCUGACGUUCAGGCAUUACUUUUUUGGUCUCCGAAGGACAAAGAAAUUGCAACGUUGCACGCAUUGUUUGUUCUUAUGUUUAACUAGACGGUGAAUAACUAAACCAUCUUCUCAUCUCGUUAUCAUGUUUGUUGGACCUUUUGCUCCUCACAUGCUGUUAUAGGUUGUCUCUUAAUGUGCGUCAGCCAGCUGUCCAUUUGUUGCUCCUUUUUUGGGUGGCAGGAGGGAGGGGGAUUCUUCCAAAGUUGCAGAUUUAUAUGGUGGAACUGUAUGUAGGGGUGUUUUUUCUUGGCUGCAUAACUUGAUUAAGUGACAUCUGUGUCUUUAUCUACUAGAUGCUUUAUGUAUCUGUGUGUGCCCAAAAAUAUGAAAGUCUACAUAAGAGCUAAAAAUGUGAUUCCUUGAUUAUCUAAUAUUUGCUUGUGAAAGUAUGUCAGCAAUGUUUUAGCAUCAUUUUUAAUAUCUCAAUGUUUUGUGCACUGUUGGUUUGAUAGGAGGAAUGCUUGCAAAGGCUGCAGAACCGUAUAGAUGUUCCAUAUGACAGCUCAAAUGUUGAGCAUCAGGUGCACUUUAUGGUUUAGGAGAUUCAAUACUUCAGGCCUGUUUCACUAUUUUGUAUACGAAUUGUAUGUUCCUGAUAGUUCUUGUAUCGUUUCAUUAUCUCAAACAACAUUGAUUUCUUGUCACAGGAAGCUUUACGUGCUUUGUGGUAUGCUGCCUUUCCAGGGGAACAACUGCAUGGUUUAAUAUCUGAACAGUGGAAGGAAAUGGGUUGGCAAGGAAAAGAUCCAUCCACAGACUUUAGGUAAUUCUCCUACAUUUUUAGGAUUGAUGUUUUAAGCUAGUGCCCAUAAUUCUAUCAUUUUUCUUUUCUACCUCAUUCUUUUCUAUAUUAUCCUUACAUUUAAUCUUUGACUUUCUUUGUCAGAGGUGGUGGAUUCAUAUCCCUAGAGAACUUGUUGUACUUCGCCAGGAACUUCCCUGUAUGCUCGCUCUCUCUCCUUGACUAUUACUAUCCUGAUGAAUCAUUUGGUUUAAACCUUCUUAAGCCAUUGCCGUAAAAUUUUAAAAAUUGAUUUAAUGAAUAUUUCUAGUUAUAUGAGAAGAAUUAGCAAAACCAUUUGCAGCCAUACUGCUUGGUCCUCAUUCAGAAGCAUAAAAAGCAAUAUCAGUCCAUGCUGGCAAAUAUCUACAACAUGAGAAUGUGUUAUUUCAUCCUUGAUUAAUCUAAAAAUUUUGAUGGAUAGGAUUAUAUAGGGUCUUUAAGGUGUCAUUUCCUUGGAAACAGAUACUGAAUAGCAAAUGUUAUCCCUCCUGCUAUUGUGUUGAAUAAUUUGGUAUUCUUAAACACAUGGAUGUUCUUUGACACCACUCUACUUGGAUCAGCUUCUGUUUACUGGUAAAAACAAUUAGUUCUUGUUUCUUCCUGUAGUCAAUGAUGGGCUCAAGUGCCUUCUUUCUGUGGUUUUCUUUAUUGUUUGUGGUUUCCUUUUUUGAAUGUGCAAAUAAGUUCACUUAGUAUGUUUAACUUUUGCCUGUUUCAAGUGGGAAUAUGUACUUGGUGAUGUGACCAUGACAUUUCAUGGGACUUUGCUUUUCACUGGUUGAUGUGCAAUACUUGGUGGGGGUGUCAUGUUCUUGAUACCCAUACUAAAGUGAUUACAUCUCUUUACCGACUUAGCUUGGCUGUAAAAUAGAUGUUUACUUCAGAUAUCUAGUGGUAUCUCAGACUACUUAAAGAGUGAUGGGGGCUGUUUUUGGAGAGAGUGACAGUUUCUCUUUAAGAUUCUGUACAGGUAUCUAGCUGGAUUUGAGCCGCUUCCCUUAUAUACUUAGAUGUGCUUGGAGAAGUCUCAAUCUGGUUUUUGAUUGGUUACUCAUAAUACUGAAUGCCUGGCUUUCUGCAGAAAUCCUUCCAGGAUCUUCUUUGCAAGCAAGAAGGUGACCGGGCUAUGUGGGAGUACCCGUUUGCUGUUGCUGGAGUGAACAUCACAUUCAUGCUGAUUCAGAUGUUGGAUCUUGAAGCAGGUUUGCAAAUUGUUGUCAUUGCCUGAUUUUUGACAUGUGGUGUUGCUCAGAGUGAAACCACUAGUGGGCUAAUAUUUUUGGUGUGCAUGUGCAUGGAACGAUUGUCCUGAAGCUCUUUGGUUGAAACAUUUCCACAAUUAAUGGCUUCGUUUCUUGUCCUGCAUUUCGUGUGUGGUAGAUGUUAAUGUUUCCUAUGGCAUGAUGAUUUUAUAAAGCUGAGACUAGCUUGCAAAGUUGCAUGUUAUGAUUUUUCUUUUCCAUGGUAUUUCAAAUUAAGCUUCCAUGGCUGUGCAGUUGGGGUUCCCUCUCCCCACCCCACCCUCCCGGGUAGCCCAUUUCUUUUUGUAUUGUAGUAGUACAGAUAAAUAUCAUGAGGCAUGCAGGGUAUAAUCUUUUUUAGUCACAAAGUUUCAAGCACCCAUUCCUGAAAUGUAUUCUGAGUUGGAAUAACUUCUGCAUCAAGGCACACUUUCUGAUUUUGAUUUCUUAGCAGGCCUUCCUGUUUGUUAAUUAAGUUUUUCGUGUUAAUUCAUAGUGAAACCACGAAAUUUUGUAGGAGCAACCUUCUUGAAGUUUCUUGCAGGUAAGGCUACCAUGCUCUGCUGAUCAGUCAACCAAUUCUUUUCCUUGCUAUGUUUCUUUGCUAAUGCUCUUCUAAUUGAUUGAAAUUGUGGUUCCUACUAGAGGUUGGAUCUCACCAAUGUAUACACUUUUUGUCUUUUGCAUAGCAGAGAAUGAAUCAGCAUUUGACCUCCUAUAUUGCAUCACAUUCAAGCUGAUGGACAAUCAAUGGCUUGCCAUGCAUGCAUCUUACAUGGACUUCAAUGUAUGUAUCUGCAAACAUGAAUAGUUUUGGUAAUAGUGAACGUGUCUUAUUAAAGUUAUACUUCUCAGGAGUUGGUUUUAGCUUCAUUGCUUGCUAGCUGAAAACUAUCAUGUGUAAUAUGUUUAUGCUGUUUAUCAAUGGUGGUGGAGCUCUUAGUGUUUCUGGUUCCAUGUUUAUUCAGGAAAAUUGUGGACUCAUAGUCCAUACACUCACCAGUCAUAUUUACUAAGAUCAGAACCUCCAGUCUACCUCCUUGCCCACCACCUCCACCUCUUAUAGUUGGUAAAAUGAAAGCAGGCAAAUGGAUUUUAAUAAAAUGGAAUACCUGAGGCAGUAAUUUUGUAAAUUUAUUGCACUUAUUAUUAUAGUAAGAUUUUAUCUGUAAGGUGUUUUUCUAGGAAAUAUUGCUAGUUUGAAGUAUGUUUGGGUCGGCAAGUUUUGGAUUACUUGUUCUGUAGUUCAGAAUGCUUAUUUCUCUUUCCAUGUCUGAUGCAGACUGUGAUGAAAGCCACUCGUCGCCAGCUUGAAAAUGAGCUUUUGCAGGAAGACAUAACUCGUCUUGAAGACUUACCCUCGUACAGACUUCUUAAUCGUUAGUGGUAGUAUCUGUAACUUUCUGGGAAGAAAUGGUUAUAAAAAUGGCUACCGUGCAAAAAUGUUCGCAAUCCAUUGGUUAUGGUUGCAGCAUUCACAGGUUCUCCAUUUUUUAGUUUGUGGCUUAGAUUGUCUCUGUCCGUGAUACAUUUUUCUCCAGGAUUACAGCAUUCUUGGAGUUGCAUAGUUGCUAAUACGGUUUUAUUUUGGGGGAAAGUACAAAAGAGAUCGGGAUUCAGAUCCAUGCUUCAGGUGUGGAUUGAGUAACUAGAGCAACCAUGUUGAAGUUUCAGACGCACAAGUAUUGCAUACUCUCAGAUGUCUUUUCCAGCUUUCCCUAUUGUCUGCAAGUACAUAAGAGCUGUAUUUGUUUUCUCGAUUCUGUAAACAUGCCUCUGUAUUAACAAUGUAGUGGUAGCCAGCGUGAAAAACCUGCAACUCCUGUUUUCGCUUAGUCCUCGUUCUCUUGGAGAUCAAUGAAAUUUGGAGCAUAUUCAUGUUAUUCCGUUUGACUGGCAUUUAAUUUGACCCCGAAUAUCUUCUCCUACUAUGCAUGCAGGUGCCUGCGUGCAAUUAACGCAAUAAGAUCCUGAGGUUAUUGCGGGAGCCUUUUUGUCUUUAUAGUAACAUCUCAUUUGUGAGUUGUGAUAUUCGUGUGAAUUAUAUUGGCGUCCAACACACAGGAAGAGGUUUGAAAAGUUGUGUUUGUAUCCGCCGCAAGCCUGUAAUGGGGUAAAUCCAUCUUUGACCGUGGUGGAAAUGGCACUACGGACUAAGCAGUAAGCUCCGACGAAUCAUUCUUCAAAGACACGGGCAUCCCUCACCACCGUAGAUUCUGCAACCCAUCUCUGAUAACAACCCCCUCACUGACUAAAAACGAGUCCCUGAUCGUUGUAAAAACACUCCUGGGUACAGAGAUUUAAACCCAGAACGGCGUCUGCGGCGCUGCUUUUCUCGCACCCAACGCCCACCUCGACCGCGAUUUCCAAGCUUAAAAACCUGAAUUACUUAGAUGGCAUUCGGGAUUUUGUUGAAAAGUGCCAAGACCUGGCAGGACAAGAAAUCAGAGCGGUGCAUUUCGCAUGUCCUCACCCUCUAUGGGAAGGCUGGAUGCUAAAUGAUGCAAGGAAAUGCACGAAAUGGGCCUCGAGAGAACUGUGAAAACACUCAACAGUUUGCUAUGUGGCUUCUCUUCAGGCAAGGAGUUUAAGGAAAUGAAGCAGAUUUCUGUGUCAUUCCGAGGUUUAUGGAGUUUUUCCAGAUUUGGAUACGUAUAAUUGGAUAUUUGGAUGUUCAAAGCGUGUUUAGAGUCCGGUGAGACAAGUUUUACUUAUAAAAUAUUGGAUGAGAUUGAUAGGGUAGGGUUAAGCCGGAUGGGAGGACAUUUUGCCGAAUGCUUACUGGGUUUUUGAAGGUUAAUGAGGCAAGGCAGAUUAUUGCAGAAUUGAAGCAGAAGUUCUCGAGGAAUUCUCCAAGUAGAUUGAAGGGAGAUUGACUGAGUGGAGAAGUCGAACAUGGUGUGCUUUGGAAUUGUAGUAUGUUAUGUUAGCAUAGUUAUGAUCAUAAAUCUGUAAGCAGGCUAUCCUUGUAGAGAACUUCACUUUCUGGGGAAGAAAAUUAUGAUUUACGUGUUGAAUUUUGUAGACUGCGAGAUGAUUAUCUUAAGCUUGGUGGAGGUUGAUAAAUCUUUUAACCGCUAUGGCUUCUAAAAUUCCUGUUUGAGUUUAAGACAAUGACAAUCUGUCAUUUUAAGUAAACUACGUCAUUUUAAGACAAUGACGCGAGCUCUCUUGCUUGUUUCUAUGCUUUUUUUCUCGUCUUUCUGCAAGCAGUUACUAUCGCUUUCAUAUUCUUCCUUGCCUGCCUCGUACUAACUGUAAUUAGAUACGUUCAAAUUCCAUUACCUAGGAGUUCCUGGCAUCUGCAAUCACUUCCUCAAUGCAUCCAAUUACCAGUAUUCCUGAUGCGAAAUCAUUUUUGGUCGAGUACAAUGGAACAGAUCUAAUUGAACUAGGCCAUCUGUAUCGACCCUUUUAACUACCUCGACCAUAAGCAACCUGGAUACUCGGGACCUUUUAUGUCCCCAUUCCACUGGAAAAAAAUGGGUUAGGAACAAAGGUUUACCACUCUUAUUUGACAAUCCGAUCUUGAACCCCUUGGGAAUUCUCAGAAGACUGCUCUAGGUUUGCCAUACAAUAACAGGAGCUUAAUUAAACUAGCUUCCCAGUGAAACAUUUCACUGCAUUGGUUUAUCGGCCUUGUACGCGCAGGGCGCAAUCAUGAGAGAGCCAAGAGCACACGCUGUAAAAUGUUCUUCGUGCGCGCCAGAAAGUUUUUAAGUAUGAAAGAAGAGAUAGGAAACCACAAUCAACAUAGCAAGGACCACAAGCCUAUCUAAAAACCAGAACUCAAUAGGAAAAGUAGCAAAUGUCAUGAUAAAUAUCAAGAUAAUUCCACAUAACCAUAGCUAAAAUCUGAUCUCAGAGGCGUAACAUCAAGCCUCCAAACUCAACUGAAGUCAAAACUUAUAAAUACCCUAAUGCAAGGGAUCAUCACAUAUACGUUAAGCAAAUAGGUUGAGAACCUCAGCAUCAGAUGACUCUUCACUCAUAGAUCCAAGGAUGAAGGCUGCUCUGCCAUUCUGCAAUUCCU